rnacentral:lncRNA from 1 species
UGGCAAAAUACAGGUCAACAGUUGUGAAAUAUCCUUAUCUUACCUCAAUGGGAUAUUACGGUGCACAUACAGAUUGGAAGUCGUGUCUCCAUUUGUGCAGUUCACUAAAAUCAAGCAACAUUAUCGUACAAGUAGCACAACAUAUGAAAGUACACUGCAGAAUCAUGUGAAAGAAGGCUAGUACUGACCUCUCAUGAUGCGGAAUUCAAACAACUCACAAGAAGAAGAUCUGAACCAAAUUCGCCUUAACGGAUAGGAAGUAAGAUCUCCUCUUGUGCACUUCCACUAAGAUCAAGCAAUCAAGCAAAGUUGUUGGUGUGACAUUUUGGUUGAACUGCACAAAACACUCUUAAAACAAAAGUGUUUUGUGCAGUGCAACAAAAGGUCACAAUGGCAACGAGGUGAAGUAGAUAACCCUGUUUACACAGAGGUGCAAAGGAAACAAUUAGUGGUCAAUAACGGUGGAUGACACAGAAGCCAACAAAAAGAAGCAUCUACCUUAUCUAAAUGGGAAAGAAAGCAAGACAGUAGCAUUUCUCAAAUGGUGGCAUUGAUUAAUAUUAACAUAGAGAUUAAUUAACAAUAAAAUUCAUUAAACAUGUAAUUUGCUUUUAACUGUGGCAUUGCAUCAAUUUUCCAGCGGCAUUAUUAGAGGGUGUUUGUUUACAGGGAAAUUUUGGUGUAGGGACUAAAAAACUUCGUGUCAGUCCCAUCUAAACCAAACACGGGGGACUUUUAGGGACUAAAAGUGGGCAUUUGGGACUAAAUAAAGAAGACCCCUAGGGAGUCUUUUUGGGACUUUUUCCAACAGUUGCCCCUGCCACGCAUCGCACCUUGUCUCUAUUAGUUCAUUACUAGGGGUAACAUCGUAUUUUAGCAUGUCAUUUAAUAACCUCUAGUCCAUGUUUAGUCCCUAGAACCAAGCAGGUAGGGACUAGGUAGUUUUUAACCAAACAGGGCCUUAGAUUAACAACAGCUAAUGAGUUGCACGGGACAGUGGACGCACCAGCACCAUGUGCAUCUACCGAUGUACUGUGGUCAUGCACAGUCUGUUGCAACAAAGAACAAACAGCCAAGGAGCAUAUUUGUGUUGGUCCCAGUUUUGUUAUCUUUAGACACCUUUCCCUAUGUGAGCGUAGCAAAUCUAGUCCUGCUCAAACUCUACGGCCUUGUCCCUUCCUUUCCUUUUUGAACUAGUACUUUCGCCCCUUCCUUUCCUCUUUGAACCACGUCCUAGAUUUAUGCGAUACAACUUUCCCCACUACUUUCCCCCAUUCCUUUCCUCUUUGAACCAUGUCCUAGAUUCAUGCUAUACAACUUUUCCCCUUCAUUUCCUCUUUGAACCACGUCCUAGAUUCAUGCUAUAUACAACUUUUCCCACUACUUUCCCCCACUCCUUUCCUGUUUGAACCACGUCCUAGAUUCAUGGUAUACAUGCAGCUAGAGCAAUGCAUGUGGAGUAAGUAAAUUAUACCUUAAGGUUCUUGGGGCGUGGUUCGGUGGGUGAUGGGACGGCGGUGAAGAAGAAGGGGUCGGAGGCCCUCCCACGCUGCCGCUGGGUGGAAAGUGAACAGCUACACCGGUAGUCUCUCGUCGACGGCGACAGCGACAGCGUUAAGCCUCCUUCCCUUCCUGGCGGACAGAUCCUGCUGGCUCUUUGAGAAGCAGUGAGGGGAGAGAGAGGCCAGCGAAGUCUUGUUUAGAUCUGGAGAGGGCGAGAGAGUGUGAAGAGAGCAACAACUCCCUUCGUUCCAAAUUACUCGUCGAAGAAAUGGAUGUAUCUAGAACUAAAAUACAUCUAGAUACAUCCAUACCUGCGACAAGUAAUUCAGAACAGAGGGAGAGGGAGAGAGAGUGUGAAGAGAGCAACUACAAGCGCUAAGGCUCCAGCGUGUAUAUAUAUAUACUGGAGAGAGAGUGUGUGAAGCGUGCAAACCCUAGCAAACAUUUUGACCAGUCAAAGAAUCCUCCUGGCACAAAUUAUGCUCAAGUGUAGUUAUCAAACCCGAGACCUCAAGUUAGAAGGUGCAACGGGACCAAGGUGCGUGUGUGUGUGUGUGUUUAACGACAUGUGUGUGUUAGAGAGAGCGACAGAUCGACCUACUCCUAUAGAGAGAUGUUGUGUAGUAUACCAGUUUAGCUGCAAGAGUCGGUGCAUCCUCUCAUUUCCGGGCGUGUCCGGUAGGGACAUGCGGACAGCUACCACGCCCGCUCCAGACCAUCCUGGACCACCCAAAGCCCCUCCAUCGCCCGCGCGCGCUUCCCGCCCGAAACGGUUAGCGCCGCUCCAAAGAACCGGUGCCACAUUCAUGCCCGGGCAGAGCGGAUGCGACCUCUCACUGGCGCAAGAGUGAUGGUUACUGUUGGGUCUAUGUGAUUUGAAGGCUCAUUGGUCUUUAUUACUGAGGUGGUAGGACUGCUGGAUGUCCCACGCUUUCGGCGAAAGGAGGUACUACUACUAGAUUACAAUUUUCUCCAUUCUUACAGCGGAGGCGUGCAAGAGCAGUGAAAACACGCAGGCUCAGUGAUUACAUGGCCCACCUCACACUAUCACCGUGCGACACCUAACUCUUUACAUAGUACUCCCUCCGUUCCUAAAUAUUACUCCCUCCGUUCCUAAAUAUUUGUCUUUCUAGAGAUUUCAAAUGGUUACCACAUACGUAUGUAUGUAGACAUAUUUUAGAGUAUAGAUUCACUUAUUUUUCUCUGUAUGUAGUCACUUGUUGAAAUAUCUAGAAAGACAAAUAUUUAGGAAUGGGGGGAGUACUAGAUGAGUCCCCGCGUGUUGCCGCGGAACAGCGGUAUAUCUCUCUGCGCAAAAUUAUCGCUUUCAUAGAACUAAAAAAACUCUAUAACCGCAUGACAAAUGUGGUAGCCAAACUAAAUAAACUCCCAUCAUCAUUUAGAUCAUCCCGCGUGAGGAAAAAAGAUCAGCCAACUCCUACUGCAUAAUGGGAUUAUAUUUUUCUUUUUAACAUGUUAAUGGGACUUAAAAGCUCACUUACAUGCAUGCUACCGGUGCAUGCUUGCAUGCAGACAUGUUGAUGUGAUUUAAAACCCACUCACAUGCAUGUGCCACGGUAUUUCUGCAUGCUUGCAUGUGGCUUAGUGCGGAGCCUCUCAACGUCUAGAUCAGACGGCUAUUAUGGACUGAAUUACUUCAUCUAACGGCUACAUCAAUUUUGAUGAUGUGGCUCAAGGAGAGGAUAGAGAAUUCCUAGUAGUGAGGGCUAGCUAUUACUAGUAGAUAAGUCUUUGUAGAGAUUCCACUACAUACGGAACAAAAUGAAUGAAUCUACACUUAAAAUGCAUCUAUAUACAUCCGCAUGUGGUUCAUGGUGAAAUCUCUACAAAGACUUAUAUUUAGGAACGAGGGAGACGGCGUACUAAGCAAGCUUCUCCUCGUUCUGCAAGUUGAUGGGACACAUCAAAAGUACUCCAGUGUAUAGAGCCUUGCCUCUAAGGUAGGCCCCACAUGGUUUGCCUCUUUUUUAACAUAACACGUCAAGUUGCAAUUUGUUUGUUCACCCAUGGUAGACGGUCCUCCCUCCACCAAGUGGACAACCAGUACAUGUGCCAAAUUACCACGUGGGCUGCCUUUUUCGUACAGAAAUGAGCUCCAUAGUGUACCUGCACGGGUGUGGUUGGGAAAGAGACGGGAGUACGUGCGUCGUGCAUGCACCUCUUCUCUUCGUGCACGUCCCCCACCUAUGUGGGUGUGUGUGAGAGAUACAAACCGCGUUCGUGAGUGUUUUUUGUUUUGGGGUGGGGGUGGGGUGGGGGUUGAUUUCGUGAAUUAUUUGUGGGAAUAUGUGUCGAUGACAUCUGAAACAAAAUUUUGCAUGCAAUGUGUGUGAAAUGGAGGCCUAUCCAUAUCAUACAUAGAGGGUCGGCUAAUACACGAGAAGAGAGAGAGGGGUCAUAGCUAUCGAUAGAGUCGAAGAGAGGAUCAAGUGGGUGGGUGCGAGAUCGAUGAAGAGAGCCAUCGAAAUUGUGUGUGUGUGCAAGUCAAAUAUAUAGGGCGACUGGCCUAACAUAAUGUUAGAGGGCACAAGCCAAGUUUGUGUGUGGCAGGGAGACAUGACUAGAGCGCUCAAUGUAUCGGUGUGUGUGGGGGGGUGGGGGAGGGGUAGGCAGAGGCCUAACUAUAGAGGUAGACUGACUCGUAUAUGUGUUGAGAAGGAGAGACCCAGCUAUGUCUUGAGGGCGAUCGGUCGACAUCCAUACAUAACUGAAGGACGGGAAAUAUGAUGGGACAGAGAGAGAGGAGAGAGAGAGGGAGGGAGAGGGAGGGAGAGGGGUAGAGUGCUGGAUGGGUGAUGGAGUUGCUUCUUGAAGAUGGUGGGAGAGGCCUACUAGACAAACUGAGGGUGGAACUGCAAUGUUAUCAAUAAGAGUGGGGAUGUGUUUCUGUGUGUGCCUGUGCGUGAUAGAUCUGUCGGGACGCAUCCAUGGAUGGUGAAGGGGAACCAUGUGUUUGGUAAGCAAACCUAACUAGAUCGGUAGAUCAAUUGUUGUUUGUCGGAGGAAGGGAGAGACACAACUAAUGAGGUAGAUCAAUUGACGUGUGGGUAAAAACGAGUUAUAAGGACCUAGCUAGCUAUAUGUAUAGUGAGAGAUCGGUCGGUGUACGUCCAUUUGUUAGAGGCAAAUAAGGCCCAGUGAGACAGAUAGACAGAGAGAAUGGAGCUAGGAGGUGGUGCGAGAGGCCCAACUACUAGCUAGAUACGGGGAGAAGUGUGCGGUUGUAAGAUCGAUGAAAAGAGGGGCGAGAGUUUACACGUGUGUCUGACCGUAUGAGAGACACGAGGCAAGGACACAUAAAGGAGGAGAUUGAAGGUGUGUGUGUAUGUUGUAGGCAGGCAUCGCUGGAGAGGUUUAUCGAUCAGUGUGUGUCGGAAAGGAGUUGUGGAGACUCUGGGAGAACGACCUAAAGAAAAAAUGAAUGUGCCCAGUGUAUAGAAUGCCGAGGGAGGGGGAGGGCGAGGAGGGCGUGUGCAUGCACGAGAUAAAGUUAGUGGUAGCUACAAAGGUUAGAGGAUUGUGUGGGUGUAAGAGACUAACAAAGAUCAUAAUUUGAUAUGAAAGCGGAUUCAUAUAUUUGAAUAGGAGAUCAUAGUGUUUUAAACAUUACAUGCAUGAAUAUAGCGGUGAUACAUGUGUUGUGCACAUGUUAUACCAUAAUGUGAUAAUGCAUGGCGUUUGCAACUCACAGCUAAAUGCCGAACAAUCUAAACCAUACUAUACAUCAAACAAUCUCACAUUUUAUUUGAAUUUGUGAUAAUGUGUGGCGUUUGCAGCUUACAACUAAAUAUCGAACAAUCUAAACAAUACUAUAUAUCGAACAUUCUCACAUUUUAUUUGAAUUUAUGGUAAUGUGUGGUGUUUGCAACUCACAUCUAAAUACUUGUAGGCGUAGGGGGCGGGGCACCAUACAUAAUGUGAUAAACACAUUAUACAUAUGAGACAUGGUUUAGAUUAUGAAGAUCUAGCUAGAGCUAGAAAUGUAAUGUGACUUGAAAUCAAAAUAAAGUGGAUUCAAAUAAUCUAGUUCGAGUUCAUAUAGUACCCAUAGUUCAUAUGUAACUCGAGACUAAUCAUGUGGUGUGUUGUGAAGAUAAUACAGAAAUGAUGGUUUAACUUGACAAUAAUGAUGAUUGUAGAUCUUAUUAAAACAGAGAAAUGAAUUCAAAUGCUUUGACUUCACAACAAUCAUUACUGUAGAUCUUAUUCAAAUAGAGAAAUGAAUUCAAAUUUAGUUCAUAUUGAAGCGGUAGUAUAAACGUUUGGAAUGCACUCAAAUGUUCAUUUGAGUAGUAGGUUGCAUGCAUUAUACACGUAGCGAAAUAUUUUAAUUUAACAUAACAUGAAUUCAAAGUUUUGAAUGACAUUUGUAGUGCGCAUUGAUUUGGUACAGUACACGUUAGGCUUGUCCGGAAAUUUCAACCCGCGCCUUGUUAGCCCGAAAUAUUUAAGAUAUAUCUUUGUCUCAUUGUGCUCCGACAACUCCCUCCAUCUCAACCCGCGCCUUGCUAUUCCAAAAUUACAACGCGCGCGAAAACUCCCACCUCCUGUGAAAUCCCGACACGCGAAAUGCCCGUGGUACCCCUGAAUUGAAAGAACCGCCUCAAAUCGGUGGGGGUACUUUCGUAACCUACCCCACAUUUCAGACAAGCGCGUCUCUAAGCCAUGGUUCCCCACUGCCAUCCCAUCUGCCCACCCAUUCGUACACUGAGGUCGCGAAAACCCACGAUGAAACCCCACACCCUGCUCCGUCCGCCACCCAGCUGGAGCCUCUUCCCCGACGACAUCGUCGAUAGCAACACCUCGACGUCCCUCAUCCACCGUACCGGAUGAGGAUCCAUCGUCGAUCUCAUCAUCCCGCCGGUUCAGCCACCCCGUCCACCACCUCCAAGGAGCUGCCCCAACGUUCCCCUUGUCUUUCGCACCACCUCCAUUCCCACACCACCGUCUUCACCUACACUACCGGAAGAGCAUCAUCAUCACCGUUUCCUCGGAUGAAGUUGCGGCCUAAUCGGCGCCACCAAAGAGUUUGUACACUAAUCGCCGCAUUUUCUUCUUGAUUCGAUCUCAUGGUGCUGCCGGCGCUCGGUCCCGAGCCGACACAGCGCGGCUCCAUCCACGGCGGCGUCGCCGGCCACUUCCUCCACGGCGUCGCUCCCUCGGCGGCGACGUCCACAUCAGUAGGAGCUGCUGAUGCUUUAGCUCUCGCUCGCGCUGCUGCUCUGCUCUUGCUCUCGGUCCCCUGCCUGGUCUGCUCUUUCUAUUGCUCUUGCUCGCGCUGCUGCUCUCGCUCUUGCUCUUGCUUGUGAUGCUACUCCGAUUUAGCUACACUUCAGUUGACUGGAUCGACUUUUGGGUCAGUCGAUUUUCAGGGGGUGGGGGGCUUGCCGGGGUGNNNNNNNNNNNNNNNNNNNNNNNNNNNNNNNNNNNNNNNNNNNNNNNNNNNNNNNNNNNNNNNNNNNNNNNNNNNNNNNNNNNNNNNNNNNNNNNNNNNNNNNNNNNNNNNNNNNNNNNNNNNNNNNNNNNNNNNNNNNNNNNNNNNNNNNNNNNNNNNNNNNNNNNNNNNNNNNNNNNNNNNNNNNNNNNNNNNNNNNNNNNNNNNNNNNNNNNNNNNNNNNNNNNNNNNNNNNNNNNNNNNNNNNNNNNNNNNNNNNNNNNNNNNNNNNNNNNNNNNNNNNNNNNNNNNNNNNNNNNNNNNNNNNNNNNNNNNNNNNNNNNNNNNNNNNNNNNNNNNNNNNNNNNNNNCCCACUAUCUAUCUUAGGGUUCAGGAUGGGGGCAGUGGUCGCCGGCGGUGGCGGGGCGUUGGCGAGGCGGUGGCGUGGGGAUCGCCGGAGAAAAAGCUCGGCACGGGGGGGCCUAGAGGGAUGGCCGGAGCGGUGGCGGACCGGCGGUGGGGAGUGUUUUCGGGGCGGGCGGGGCGGCGCCCCGCCGGCUGCGGGCGGCGGGGAGCUGCUGUUUGGCCAGUGGUGGCUGGCGGCUCAGGGGGGUGGAGGUUGAAGAUGAACCGCAGGCCCUUGAUUUCGUAUCCAACGGCUGCAAAAUUGACUGACCAGAGAUGAAAAAGUCAGUCGACCGACGUGUAGCCUCACCUUACUAGUGCGUUCAGUUUCGACAGCAAAAUUCAGUUUCGACAGUAAAAUUCAGUUUCGAUAGUUAAGUUCAGUUUCGACAGUUAAGUUCAGUUUCGACAGUUAAGUUCAGAGAUGAGCGGCUGAUGUAUUUUACAUCUAGCACUUUAUGGUUAUGUAUUUUACGUCAUGUAUUGGAGAUGCUAUUAGAAUUCCACUCAAGUUAACGUUCUUCGUUGUCUCUCUUGUCCUGCUUCAGCCUCGGCGUCGUACAACUCACCGGAGUUGCUCCAACGACGAAACCCUCCAUCACAGCGGAGCAGUACCUCGGGCUCCAUCUCCAAACGCCUAAGAUAUUCUUCCCCUCCUCCGACAGCAAAGUCAGCCAGAGCAUCCUCACCGGCCAACCCAAUCACACUGAGAUCGACAUGGCUUCGCCAAAGAGGUUGUACACUUGUUGCAUCUCUUUUUUACUCUACAUGUUCUAUAUAUUGUCCAGUGAGCACACUGAUUUGUUCCUUUAGUGUCUCCUUGAAAGAAAAAAUGUAGGAAUUUUAAUUUUCACUUGUCCUCCUUUUCAAAUUCCUAUUCAUGAAGCACAAGAUUAAGAGAUAGUAGCAUAAUAGCAUUAUAACCGUAUAUUUUCUUGUGGUUUGGCUUAAUCUCACCAUGCUUCUUUGCAUCCUGUGAUCUUCCAAUUGUUGUGAAUCAAACACCCAGAUUGGCAGAAAUCCUGUGUUUUUAAAUUCUCUGUUUUGCACGUGCAUUCCUAUCCUAUUCCUGUCUAUUUCCUAUCCAUGCAUUGUUGGAAUCCUCCAAUUCAAACGAGCCCUUACAGAAUUACUUCUCUUACAGAUAGUUGUCAAAGAAAACCUUGCGUGGUUUGUCCCGCUCAUGUUGCGUCGUCGUCCACCCUAGCUCAGCUGCUCCAACGACAGAAGGGUCCAGCACAGCAAGGAUCCGGCCUCCAGACUGUCUUUCGCCGCCUCAGAUCUUCUUCCCCGCCGCUGGCAGCCAUGAAAACUGCAUUACCAUCAUCAACCGAGCAGAUGACCUCGAGGACUACACGGGUCCGCAAGAGAGGUCGCACCCUUUCGUGUCUGCUUACGUUAUGCAUCGCUUAAUAUUACAUGCUACUUUAUCGUCUUGUUCACCGAUUAGACUCUGAGUCAGCUCCAAACUAAUGGUUAAACUUGAUUUUUUAAAUGGUUGUGGGGUACAUAUCGGGGCCGCUAUCAAUAGUAUCUAUCUACUAUCUGGUUAAUCUCCGGUGUCUACUAUGAGUUUCAUGUUGGGUGGGAAACAAACAGUAAAGAAGCCAUUAUCUGUAUUUUUUAACUGAAGCCAUUAUCUGCCUGCUAUUAUUGGUUUUGGGUCUAUCCACAGGUUGCUACCAUCACUCUGGAUUUUUGCAUGCACUCCUUACAUAAUCUCACUAUGUUUUAUUCCUAUGCAUGACAGUUAUUGUAGACAAUGGAACUGAACAUGUAGAGCAAAAGAGAUGAGCCUUGCAUGGCAAUAAAAUUUCAUGCAGACGUCACUCCAUGGUAGGCGCAAAGGCAGCCCCCCUCCACGCAUUUCGGAUUGUAAUCGAGAGGAAGAUAUCUGUUCUGAGGGGGAUUCAGAAGGAGAAGACAACUCCUAUUUACCCCCUGAGGUCUUCUCUCUAACUUGGCAUGCUGAUGUUGGUUAUAUCAUGCAUAUGGUGUCUUGCAUUGCUUACUUUAUACAUCAAAUAUGUCAUCUGCUUAGUUUAGACAUCCUUUGUGCGAAUGCCAUCUGUUUAGUUUAUUCAUCAUUUAUGUGAAUUAUGCAACGCCAUCUUGUUUAGCCAGGCAUCAUAUAUGUGAAUUUUGCAAUGUCAUCCUGCUUAGCAUGUCAUCUUAUAUGUAAAUUAUGGCCAUCUUUUUUUCGUUACAUAUUACAUUUGUCAACAAUGUUAGUAUAUUCAACUGCUCUUCGUGUGCAUCAUCCAUUUGACACGGUGAUGGCAAAUUAUGGAGUGAAAACAAGGUCUUCAGAGCAGACUAUGCUAUAUGACGAAGCGCAUAUCUCGCUGGUUACGGAUAGCUCCUCAGAGGAGGAUUCAGAGAUAGAUGACCAGUCCUAUCNNNNNNNNNNNNNNNNNNNNNNNNNNNNNNNNNNNNNNNNNNNNNNNNNNNNNNNNNNNNNNNNNNNNNNNNNNNNNNNNNNNNNNNNNNNNNNNNNNNNNNNNNNNNNNNNNNNNNNNUGUAUGCUCUAACUUGGCAGGGUUAUGUUGCUCAUAUCGUGCGUAUGGUGUCUCGGAUUGCUAUGUCAUUUGAUUAGUUUAGACAUGCUUUGUGUGAAUGCCACCUGUUCAGUGUCUAAUUACCAUAUAUGUGAAUUAUGCAUUGCCAUCUUGUUGCAAGACAUUAUAUAUGUGAAUUAUACAAUGCUAUCUUGUUGCAAAGGCAUUAUAUACGUGAAUUAUGCAAUGCCAUGUUGUUUAGCCAAUCAUCAUGUAUGUGAAUUAUAUCAUGCUAUAAUUUUUUUGUAUUACGUGUUCCAUUUGUCGACAACGUUUGUAUAUUCAACUACUCUUCUUGUGCAUCAGCCAUUUGAAGCGGUGAUGGAAGUAUCUGGAGUGAAAACAAGGUAUUCAGAGCAGACAAUGCUACUUGCUGAAGUAGACAUCUUGCUGGUUAUAGAGAGCUCCUCAAAGGAGGAUUCAGAGACUGGUGACCAGUCCUAUUUCCCCCUAAGGUCUAUGCUCAAACUUGGCAGGGUUAUAUUACCCAUGUCAUGCAUGUUUUCUUACAUUGCUUAGUUUUUACAUCAUAUAUGGAUUGCCAUCUGCUUACUUGCUUACUAUAUAAAUCAUAUAUUUGAAUUAUAUCAUGCCAUCAUGUUUACAUAGUACAUACACAUCAUCUAUCUGAAUUAUGGCAUGGCAACCCAUUUAAUAAAGACAUCAUAUCGUUAUAUCAUCUCAUCCUGUUUAGUGUUUACAGUCAUCAUAUUUUGAAUUAUGGCAUUUUAUCCGUGAAUGUGAAUUAUGGCAUGCCAACCUAUUUAAUAAACACAUUAUAUAGUUAUGUCAUGUCAUCCUGUUUACAUAGUCUCAUAUUUUGAACUAUGUCUUUCCAUCUUUUUUAGUUAGCCAUCAUAAUGUGAAAUUGUGUCAUGCUAUCCUGUUUAGUUAGCCAUCAUAUAUGUGAAAUUGUGUCAUGCUAUCAUGUUUGGUUAGACAACAUAAAUAUGAAUUAUUUCAUGCCCUCUUUUAUUCCCCACUAUCCAUUGCACCUGUCUAUCAUACAAUGUAUAUACUUUCAAUUACUUUUCUUGUUUAUCAGCCAUUUGAAUUGGAGAGCGUGAUGGCAGUAUCUAAGGGAGUAACAACACGGUCUUCAGAAAAGAUAGUGCUACGAGUUGAUGCAGAUAGAACCACGGUUGUACUUGCCCAAGGACCAGAUCCACCACACAUAACCCAGACUCUCGCAGAUUGUACCCCUACCUAGUUGGACAGAGAACUAGCUACACCCCUUCUAACCCCAACCCCGGCAGAUAGUAACCCAGUUCCAGUUGACACAGCACCGUCUCCACCACAGAGCACCCAAACAUGAGCAGUUAGUGAAGGAAAUAUGCCCUAGAGGCAAUAAUAAAGUUAUUAUUUAUUUCCUUAUUUCAUGAUAAAUGUUUAUUAUUCAUGCUAGAAUUGUAUUAACCGGAAACAUAAUACAUGUGUGAAUACAUAGACAAACAGAGUGUCACUAGUAUGCCUCUACUUGACUAGCUCGUUAAUCAAAGAUGGUUAUGUUUCCUAACCAUGGACAAAGAGUUGUUAUUUGAUUAACGAGGUCACAUCAUUAGUUGAAUGAUCUAAUUGACAUGACCCAUUCCAUUAGCUUAGCACCCGAUCAUUUAGUAUGUUACUAUUGCUUUUCUUCAUGACUUAUACAUGUUCCUAUAACUAUGAGAUUAUGCAACUCCCGUUUGCCGGAGGAACACUUUGGGUGCUACCAAACGUCACAACGUAACUGGGUGAUUAUAAAGGAGCAUUACAGGUGUCUCCAAAGGUAGAUGUUGGGUUGGCGUAUUUCGAGAUUAGGAUUUGUCACUCCGAUUGUCGGAGAGGUAUCUCUGGGCCCUCUCGGUAAUGCACAUCACAUAAGCCUUGCAAGCACUGCAACUAAGAUGUUAGUUGUGAGAUGAUGUAUUACGGAACGAGUAAAGAGACUUGCCAGUAACGAGAUUGAACUAGGUAUUGGAUACCGACGAUCGAAUCUCGGGCAAGUAACAUACCGAUGACAAAGGGAACAACGUAUGUUGUUAUGCGGUCUGACCGAUAAAGAUCUUCGUAGAAUAUGUAGGAGCCAAUAUGGGCAUCCAGGUCCCGCUAUUGGUUAUUGACCGGAGACAUGUCUCGGUCAUGUCUACAUUGUUCUCGAACCCGUAGGGUCCGCACGCUUAAGGUUACGAUGACAGUUAUAUUAUGAGUUUAUGCAUUUUGAUGUACCGAAGGUUGUUCGGAGUCCCGGAUGUGAUCAAGGACAUGACGAGGAGUCUCGAAAUGGUCGAGACAUAAAGAUUGAUAUAUUGGAAGCCUAUGUUUGGACAUCGGAAGUGUUCCGGGUGAAAUCGGGAUUUUACCGGGUUACCGGGAGGUUACCGGAACCCCCCGGGAGCCAUAUGGGCCUUAGUGGAAAGGUGAAAGGGCUGCCCACAAGGGCUGCGCGCCUCCCCCCUUCCCCUAGUCCUAUUAGGACUAGGAGAGGUGGCCGGCCACCCUUCUCCCUCUUUCCCACUUGGGGAAUCCUAGUUGGAAUAGGAUUGGAGGGGAGUCCUACUCCCGGAAGGAGUAGGACUCCUCCUGCGCCUCUCUCUCUUGGCCGGCGCCCCCUCCCCCCUUGGCUCCUUUAUAUACUAAGGUAGAGACACCCCAAAGACACACAAGUUGAUCCACGUGAUCUAUUCCUUAGCCGUGUGCGGUGCCCCCUGCCACCAUAUUCCUCGAUAAUACUGUAGUGGAGUUUAGGCGAAGCCCUGCUGCUGUAGUACAUCAAGAUCGUCACCACGCCGUCGUGCUGACGGAACACUUCCCCGACACUUUGCUGGAUCGGAGUCCGGGGAUCGUCAUCGAGCUGAACGUGUGCUCGAACUCGGAGGUGCCGUAGUUUCGGUGCUUGAUCGGUUGGAUCGUGAAGACGUACGACUACUUCCUCUACGUUGUGUCAACGCUUCCGUUGCGAUCUACAAGGGUACGUAGAUCAUACUCUCCCCUCGUUGCUAUGCAUCACCAUGAUCUUGCGUGCGCGUAGGAAAUUUUUGAAAUUACUACGUUCCCCAACAGUGGCAUCCGAGCCUAGGUUAUUUAUGUUGAUGUUAUAUGCACGAGUAGAACACAAGUGAGUUGUGGACGAUACAAGUCAUACUGCCUACCAGCAUGUCAUACUUUGGUUCGGCGGUAUUGUUGGACGAGACGACCCGGACCAACCUUACGCGUACGCUUACGCGAGACCGGUUCCCUCGACGUGCUUUGCACAUAGAUGGCUUGCGGGCGACUGUCUCUCCAACUUUAGUUGAACCAAGUGUGGCUACGCCCGGUCCUUGCGAAGGUUAAAACGGAGUCUAUUUGACAAACUAUCGUUGUGGUUUUGAUGCGUAGGUGAGAUUGGUUCUUGCUUAAAGCCCGUAGCAGCCACGUAAAACUUGCAACAACAAAGUAGAGGACGUCUAACUUGUUUUUGCAGGGCAUGUUGUGAUGUGAUAUGGUCAAAACGUGAUGAGAUAUAAGUUGUUGUAUGAGAUGAUCAUGUUUUGUUAAAAGUUAUCGGCAACUGGUAAAAGCCUUAUGGUUGUCUCUUUAUUGCAUAAGAUGCAAGCGCCAAAUAAUUGCUUUACUUUAUCGCUAUGCGAUAGCAAUAGUUGCAAGAGCAAUAGUUGGCGAGACGACCAUGUGACGACACAUUGAUAUAGAUCAAGAUGAUGGAGAUCAUGGUGUCAUGCCGGUGACGAUAUAGAUCAUGACAGUACUUUGGAGAUGGAGUUCAAAGAAGCAAGAUGAUGAUGGCCAUAUCAUGUCACAUAUUUUGAUUGCAUAUGAUGUUUAUCUUUUAUACAUCUUAUUUUGCUUAGUUUGACGGUAGCAUUUUAAGAUGAUCUCUCACUAAUUAUCAAGAACUGUUCUCCCUGAGUAUGCACCAUUGCGAAAGUUCUUCGUGCUGAGACACCACGUGAUGAUCGGGUGUGAUAGGUUCUACGUUCAAAUACAACGGGUGCAAAACAGUUGCACACGCGGAAUACUCAGGUUAUACUUGAUGAGCCAAGCAUAUAAAGAUAUGGCCUCCGAACACGGAGACCGGAAGGUCGAGCGUGAAUCAUAUAGUAGAUAUGAUCAACAUAAUGAUGUUCACCGAUGAAACUACUCCAUCUCACGUGAUGAUCGGACAUGGUUUAGUUGAUUUGGAUCACGUGAUCACUUAGAGGAUUAGAGGGAUGUCUAUCUAAGUGGGAGUUCUUAAGUAAUAUGAUUAAACUGAACUUAAAUUUAUCAUGAACUUAGUCCUGGUAGUAUUUUGCAAAUCAUGUUGUAGAUCAAUAGCUCGCGUUGUUGCUUCCCUGUGUUUAUUUUGAUAUGUUCCUAGAGAAAAUUGUGUUGAAAGAUGUUAGUAGCAAAGAUGCGGAUUGGAUCCGUAAUCUGAGGUUUAUCCUCAUUGCUGCAUAGAAGAAUUAUGUCCUUGAUGCACCGCUAGGUGACGGACCUAUUGCAGGAGCAGAUGCAGACGUUAUGAAUGUUUGGCUAGCUCAAUAUGAUGACUACUUGAUAGUUUAAGUGCACCAUGCUUAACGGCUUAGAAUUGGGACUUCAAAGAUGUUUUGAACGUCAUGGACCAUAUGAGAUGUUCCAGGGGUUGAAGUUAAUAUUUCAAGCAAAUACCCGAGUUGAGAGAUAUGAAAUCUCCAACAAGUUCUAUAGCUAAAAGAUGGAGGAGAAUCGCUCAACUAGUGAGCAUGUGCUCAGAUUGUCUGGGUACUACAAUCGCUUGAAUCAAGUGGGAGUUAAUCUUCCAGAUAAGAUAGUGAUUGACAGAAUUCUCUAGUCACCAUCACCAAGUUAGUAGAACUUCGUGAUGAACUAUGAUAUGCAAGGGAUAACAAAAACGAUUCACAAGCUCUUCGUAAUGCGGAAAUUGACGAAGGUAGAAAUCAAGGAAAACAUCAAGUGUUGAUGGUUGACAAGAUCACUAGUUUCAAGAAAAGGGCAAAGGGAAGAAGGGGAACUUCAAGAAGAACGGCAAGCAAGUUGCUGCUCAAGUGAAGAAGCCCAAGUCUAAUCCUAAGCCUGAGACUAAGUGCUUCUACUGCAAAGGGACUGGUCACUGGAAGCGGAACUACCCCAAGUGAUUGGCGGAUAAGAAGGAUGGCAAAGUGAACAUAAGUAUAUUUGAUAUACAUGUUAUUGAUGUGUACUUUACUAGUGUUUAUAGCAACUCCUCAGUAUUUGAUACUAGUUCAGUUGCUAAGAUUAGUAAUUCGAAACGGGAGUUGCAGAAUAAACAGAGACUAGUUAAGGGUAAAGUGACGAUGUGUGUUGGAAGUGGUUCCAAGAUUGAUAUGAUCAUCAUCGCACACUCCCUAUACUUUCGGGAUUAGUGUUGAACCUGAAUAAGUGUUAUUCGGUGUUUGCGUUAAGCAUGAAUAUGAUUUGAUCAUGUUUAUUGUGAUACGGUUAUUCAUUUAAGUAAGAGAAUAAAUUGUUGUUCUGUUUACAUGAAUAAAACCUUAUAUGGUUACACACCCAAUGAAAAUAGUUCGUUGGAUCUCGAUCGUAAUGAUACACAUAAUCAUAAUAUUGAAACCAAAAGAUGCAAAGUUAAUAAUGAUAGUGCAACUUAUUUGUAGCACUGCCGUUUAGGUCAUAUUGGUGUAAAGCGCAUGAAGAAACUCCAUACUGAUGGACUUUUGGAACCACUUGAUUAUGAAUCACUUGGUACUUGCGAACCGUGCCUUUUGGGCAAGAUGACUAAAACGCCAUUCUCCGGAACAAUGAAGCAAGCAACAGAUUUGUUGGAAAUCAUACAUACUGAUGUAUGUGGUCCGAUGAAUAUUGAGGCUCACGACAAGUAUCAUUAUUUUCUGAUCUUCACAGAUGAUUUGAGCAGAUAUGAGUAUAUCUUCUUGAUGAAACAUGAGUCUGAAACAUUUGAAGAGUUCAAAGAAUUUCAGAGUGAAGUGAAAAAAUCAUCGUAACAAGAAAAUAAAAGUUUCUACGAUAUGAUCGCAGAGGUAAAAUAUUUGAGUUACGAGUUUGGUCUUCAAUUAAAACAAUGUGGAAUAGUUUCACAAACUCAUGCCACCUGGAACACCAUAGCAUAAUGGUGUGCCCGAAUAUCAUAACCAUACUUUAUUAGAUAUGGUGCGAUCUAUGAUGUCUCUUACCGAUCUACCACUAUCGUUUUGGGGUUAUGCAUUAGAGACAGCUGCAUUCACGUUAAAUAGGGCACCAUCUAAGUCCGUGGAGAUGACACAAUCUGAACUGUGGUUUGGCAAGAAACCAAAGUUGUCGUUUCUUAAAGUUUGGGGUUGUGAUGCUUAUAUGAAAAAGUUUCAUCCUAAUAAGCUAAAACCCAAAUCGGAGAAAUAUGACUUCAUAGGAUACCCAAAGGAGACUGUUGGGUACACCUUCUAUCACAAAUCCGAAGGCAAGACUUUUGUUGCUAAAUUCAGAGUUUUUCUAGAGAAGGAGUUUCUCUCGAAAGAAGUGAGUGGGAAGAAAGUAGAACUUGACGAGGUAACAGUACCUGCUCCCUUACUGGAAAGUAGUACAUCACAGAAAAUUGUUUCAGUGACACCUACACCACUUAGUGAGGAAGCUAAUGAUAAUGAUCAUGAAACUUCAGAUCAAGAUACUACUGAACCUCGUAGAUCAACCAGAGUAAGAUCCGCACCAGAGUGGUACGGUAAUCCUGUUCUGGAAGUCAUGCUACUAGAUCAUGAUGAACCUACGAACUAUGAAGAAGCGAUGAUGAGCCCAGAUUCCGAUAAAUGGUUUGAGGCCAUGAAAUCUGAGAUAUGAUCCAUGUAUGAGAACAAAGUAUGGACUUUGGUUGACUUGCCCGAUGAUCGGCAAGCAAUUGAGAAUAAAUGGAUCUUCAAGAGGAAGACAGACACUGAUAGUAGUGUUACUAUCUACAAAUCUAGAAUUUUCGCAAAAAGGUUUUCGACAAGUUCAAGGUGUUAAAUACGAUGAGAGUUUCUCACUCGUAUCUAUGCUUAAGUCUGUCCGAAUCAUGUUAGCAAUUGCCGCAUUUUAUGAAAUCUGGCAAAUGGAUAAACAAAACUGCAUUCCUUAAUAGAGUUAUUAAAGAAGAGUUGUAUAUGAUACAACCAGAAGGUUUUGUCAAUCCUAAAGGUGCUAACAAAAUAUGCAAGCUCCAGCGAUCCAUCUAUGGACUGGUGCAAGCAUCUCGGAGUUGGAAUAUACGCUUUGAUAAGUUGAUCAAAGCAUAUAGUUUUAUACAGACUUGCGGUGAAGCCUGUAUUUACGAGAAAGUGAGUGGGAGCACUAUAGCAUUUCUGAUAAGUAUAUGUGAAUGACAUAUUGUUGAUCGGAAAUAUUGUAGAAUUAUUCUGUAAAGCAUAAAGGAGUAUUUGAAAGGAGUUUUUCAAAGAAAGACUUCGGUGAAGCUGCUUACAUAUUGAGCUUCAAGAUCUACAGAGAUAGAUCAAGACGCUUGAUAAAUGUUUUCAAUAAGUACAUACCUUGACAAGAUUUUGAAAUAGUUCAAAAUGAAGCAGUCAAAGAAAGAGUUUUUGCCUGUAUUACAAGGUGUGAAGUUGAGUAAGACUCAAAGCCCGACCACGGCAGAAGAUAGAAAGAGAAUGAAAGUCAUUCCCUAUGCCUUGGUCAUAGGUUCUAUAAAGUAAGUCAUGCUGUAUACCAGAUCUAUUGUAUACCCUGCACUGAUUUGGCAAGGGAGUACAAUAGUGAUCUAGGAGUAGAUCACUGGACAGCGGUCAGAAUUAUCCUUAGUGAAAUAAGGAUAUGUUUCUCGAUUAUGGACGUGACAAAAAGGUUCGUCGUAAAGGGUUACGCCGAUGCAAGUUUUGACACUAAUCUAGAUGACUCUAAGUCUCGAUCUAGAUACAUAUUGAAAGUGGGAGCAAUUAGCUAGAGUAGCUCCAUGCAGAGCAUUGUUGACAUAGAAAUUUGCAAAAUACUUAUGGAUCUGAAUAUAACAGACCCGGUGACUAAAAUUAUCUCACAAAGCAAAACAUGAUCACACCUCAAUACUCUUUGGGUAUUAAUCACACAACGAUGUGAACUAGAUUACUCACUCUAGUAAACCCUUUGGGUGUUGGUCACAUAUCGAUGUGGACUAUGGGUGUUAAUCACAUAGUGAUGUGAACUAUUGUUGUUAAAUCACAUGGCGAUGUGAACUAGAUUAUUGACUCUAGUGCAAGUGGGAGACUGAAGGAAAUAUGCCCUAGAGGCAAUAAUAAAGUUAUUAUUUAUUUCCUUAUUUCAUGAUAAAUGUUUAUUAUUCAUGCUAGAAUUGUAUUAACCGGAAACAUAAUACAUGUGUGAAUACAUAGACAAACAGAGUGUCACUAGUAUGCCUCUACUUGACUAGCUCGUUAAUCAAAGAUGGUUAUGUUUACUAACCAUGGACAAAGAGUUGUUAUUUGAUUAACGAGGUCGCAUCAUUAGUUGAAUGAUCUGAUUGACAUGACCCAUUCCAUUAGCUUAGCACCCGAUCGUUUAGUAUGUUGCUAUUGCUUUUCUUCAUGACUUAUACAUGUUCCUAUAACUAUGAGAUUAUGCAACUCCCGUUUGCCGGAGGAACACUUUGGGUGCUACCAAACGUCACAACGUAACUGGGUGAUUAUAAAGGAGCAUUACAGGUGUCUCCAAAGGUAGAUGUUGGGUUGGCGUAUUUCAAGAUUAGGAUUUGUCACUCCGAUUGUCGGAGAGGUAUCUCUGGGCCCUCUCGGUAAUGCACAUCACAUAAGCCUUGCAAGCACUGCAACUAAGAUGUUAGUUGUGAGAUGAUGUAUUACGGAACGAGUAAAGAGACUUGCCAGUAACGAGAUUGAACUAGGUAUUGGAUACCGACGAUCGAAUCUCGGGCAAGUAACAUACCGAUGACAAAGGGAACAACGUAUGUUGUUAUGCGGUCUGACCGAUAAAGAUCUUCGUAGAAUAUGUAGGAGCCAAUAUGGGCAUCCAGGUCCCGCUAUUGGUUAUUGACCGGAGACAUGUCUCGGUCAUGUCUACAUUGUUCUCGAACCCGUAGGGUCCGCACGCUUAAGGUUACGAUGACAGUUAUAUUAUGAGUUUAUGCAUUUUGAUGUACCGAAGGUUGUUCGGAGUCCCGGAUGUGAUCAAGGACAUGACGAGGAGUCUCGAAAUGGUCGAGACGUAAAGAUUGAUAUAUUGGAAGCCUAUGUUUGGACAUCGGAAGUGUUCCGGGUGAAAUCGAGAUUUUACCGGGUUACCGGGAGGUUACCGGAACCCCUCGGGAGCCAUAUGGGCCUUAGUGGAAAGGUGAAAGGGCUGCCCACAAGGGCUGCGCGCCUCCCCCCUUCCCCUAGUCCUAUUAGGACUAGGAGAGGUGGUCGGCCACCCUUCUCCCUCUUUCCCCCUUGGGGAAUCCUAGUUGGAAUAGGAUUGGAGGGGAGUCCUACUCCCGGAAGGAGUAGGACUCCUCCUGCUCCUCUCUCUCUUGGCCGGCGCCCCCUCCCCCCUUGGCUCCUUUAUAUACUAAGGUAGAGACACCCCAAAGACACACAAGUUGAUCCACGUGAUCUAUUCCUUAGCCGUGUGCGGUGCCCCCUGCCACCAUAUUCCUCGAUAAUACUGUAGCGGAGUUUAGGCGAAGCCCUGCUGCUGUAGUACAUCAAGAUCGUCACCACGCCGUCGUGCUGACGGAACUCUUCCCCGACACUUUGCUGGAUCGGAUUCCGGGGAUCGUCAUCGAGCUGAACGUGUGCUCGAACUCGGAGGUGCCGUAGUUUCGGUGCUUGAUCGGUUGGAUCGUGAAGACGUACGACUACUUCCUCUACGUUGUGUCAACGCUUCCGUUGCGAUCUACAAGGGUACGUAGAUCAUACUCUCCCCUCAUUGCUAUGCAUCACCAUGAUCUUGCGUGCGCGUAGGAAAUUUUUGAAAUUACUACGUUCCCCAACAGUGGCAUCCGAGCCUAGGUUAUUUAUGUUGAUGUUAUAUGCACGAGUAGAACACAAGUGAGUUGUGGACGAUACAAGUCAUACUGCCUACCAGCAUGUCAUACUUUGGUUCGGCGGUAUUGUUGGACGAGACGACCCGGACCAACCUUACGCGUACGCUUACGCGAGACCAGUUCCCUCGACGUGCUUUGCACAUAGAUGGCUUGCGGGCGACUGUCUCUCCAACUUUAGUUGAACCAAGUGUGGCUACGCCCGGUCCUUGCGAAGGUUAAAACGGAGUCUAUUUGACAAACUAUCGUUGUGGUUUUGAUGCGUAGGUGAGAUUGGUUCUUGCUUAAAGCCCGUAGCAGCCACGUAAAACUUGCAACAACAAAGUAGAGGACGUCUAACUUGUUUUUGCAGGGCAUGUUGUGAUGUGAUAUGGUCAAAACGUGAUGAGAUAUAAGUUGUUGUAUGAGAUGAUCAUGUUUUGUUAAAAGUUAUCGGCAACUGGUAAAAGCCUUAUGGUUGUCUCUUUAUUGCAUAAGAUGCAAGCGCCAAAUAAUUGCUUUACUUUAUCGCUAUGCGAUAGCAAUAGUUGCAAGAGCAAUAGUUGGCGAGACGACCAUGUGACGACACAUUGAUAUAGAUCAAGAUGAUGGAGAUCAUGGUGUCAUGCCGGUGACGAUAUAGAUCAUGACAGUACUUUGGAGAUGGAGUUCAAAGAAGCAAGAUGAUGAUGGCCAUAUCAUGUCACAUAUUUUGAUUGCAUAUGAUGUUUAUCUUUUAUACAUCUUAUUUUUCUUAGUUUGACGGUAGCAUUUUAAGAUGAUCUCUCACUAAUUAUCAAGAAGUGUUCUCCCUGAGUAUGCACCAUUGCGAAAGUUCUUCGUGCUGAGACACCACGUGAUGAUCGGGUGUGAUAGGUUCUACGUUCAAAUACAACGGGUGCAAAACAGUUGCACACGCGGAAUACUCAGGUUAUACUUGAUGAGCCAAGCAUAUAAAGAUAUGGCCUCCGAACACGGAGACCGGAAGGUCGAGCGUGAAUCAUAUAGUAGAUAUGAUCAACAUAAUGAUGUUCACCGAUGAAACUACUCCAUCUCACGUGAUGAUCGGACAUGGUUUAGUUGAUUUGGAUCACGUGAUCACUUAGAGGAUUAGAGGGAUGUCUAUCUAAGUGGGAGUUCUUAAGUAAUAUGAUUAAACUGAACUUAAAUUUAUCAUGAACUUAGUCCUGGUAGUAUUUUGCAAAUCAUGUUGUAGAUCAAUAGCUCGCGUUGUUGCUUCCCUGUGUUUAUUUUGAUAUGUUCCUAGAGAAAAUUGUGUUGAAAGAUGUUAGUAGCAAAGAUGCGGAUUGGAUCCAUAAUCUGAGGUUUAUCCUCAUUGCUGCACAGAAGAAUUAUGUCCUUGAUGCACCGCUAGGUGACGGACCUAUUGCAGGAGCAGAUGCAGACGUUAUGAACGUUUGGCUAGCUCAAUAUGAUGACUACUUGAUAGUUUAAGUGCACCAUGCUUAACGGCUUAGAAUCGGGACUUCAAAGACGUUUUGAACGUCAUGGACCAUAUGAGAUGUUCCAGGGGUUGAAGUUAAUAUUUCAAGCAAAUACCCGAGUUGAGAGAUAUGAAAUCUCCAACAAGUUCUAUAGCUAAAAGAUGGAGGAGAAUCGCUCAACUAGUGAGCAUGUGCUCAGAUUGUCUGGGUACUACAAUCGCUUGAAUCAAGUGGGAGUUAAUCUUCCAGAUAAGAUAGUGAUUGACAGAAUUCUCUAGUCACCAUCACCAAGUUAGUAGAACUUCGUGAUGAACUAUGAUAUGCAAGGGAUAACAAAAACGAUUCACAAGCUCUUCGUAAUGCGGAAAUUGACGAAGGUAGAAAUCAAGGAAAACAUCAAGUGUUGAUGGUUGACAAGAUCACUAGUUUCAAGAAAAGGGCAAAGGGAAGAAGGGGAACUUCAAGAAGAACGGCAAGCAAGUUGCUGCUCAAGUGAAGAAGCCCAAGUCUGAUCCUAAGCCUGAGACUAAGUGCUUCUACUGCAAAGGGACUGGUCACUGGAAGCGGAACUACCCCAAGUGAUUGGCGGAUAAGAAGGAUGGUAAAGUGAACAUAAGUAUAUUUGAUAUACAUGUUAUUGAUGUGUACUUUACUAGUGUUUAUAGCAACUCCUCAGUAUUUGAUACUAGUUCAGUUGCUAAGAUUAGUAAUUCGAAACAGGAGUUGCAGAAUAAACAGAGACUAGUUAAGGGUAAAGUGACGAUGUGUGUUGGAACUGGUUCCAAGAUUGAUAUGAUCAUCAUCGCACACUCCCUAUACUUUCGGGAUUAGUGUUGAACCUGAAUAAGUGUUAUUCGGUGUUUGCGUUAAGCAUGAAUAUGAUUUGAUCAUGUUUAUUGUGAUACGGUUAUUCAUUUAAGUAAGAGAAUAAAUUGUUGUUCUGUUUACAUGAAUAAAACCUUAUAUGGUUACACACCCAAUGAAAAUAGUUCAUUGGAUCUCGAUCGUAAUGAUACACAUAAUCAUAAUAUUGAAACCAAAAGAUGCAAAGUUAAUAAUGAUAGUGCAACUUAUUUGUAGCACUACCGUUUAGGUCAUAUUGGUGUAAAGCGCAUGAAGAAACUCCAUACUGAUGGACUUUUGGAACCACUUGAUUAUGAAUCACUUGGUACUUGCGAACCGUGCCUUUUGGGCAAGAUGACUAAAACGCCAUUCUCCGGAACAAUGAAGCAAGCAACAGAUUUGUUGGAAAUCAUACAUACUGAUGUAUGUGGUCCGAUGAAUAUUGAGGCUCACGACAAGUAUCAUUAUUUUCUGAUCUUCACAGAUGAUUUGAGCAGAUAUGAGUAUAUCUUCUUGAUGAAACAUGAGUCUGAAACAUUUGAAGAGUUCAAAGAAUUUCAGAGUGAAGUGAAAAAAUCAUCGUAACAAGAAAAUAAAAGUUUCUACGAUAUGAUCGCAGAGGUAAAAUAUUUGAGUUACGAGUUUGGUCUUCAAUUAAAACAAUGUGGAAUAGCUUCACAAACUCAUGCCACCUGGAACACCACAGCAUAAUGGUGUGCCCGAAUAUCAUAACCAUACUUUAUUAGAUAUGGUGCGAUCUAUGAUGUCUCUUACCGAUCUACCACUAUCGUUUUGGGGUUAUGCAUUAGAGACAGCUGCAUUCACGUUAAAUAGGGCACCAUCUAAGUCCGUGGAGAUGACACAAUCUGAACUGUGGUUUGGCAAGAAAACAAAGUUGUCGUUUCUUAAAGUUUGGGGUUGUGAUGCUUAUAUGAAAAAGUUUCAUCCUAAUAAGCUAAAACCCAAAUCGGAGAAAUAUGACUUCAUAGGAUACCCAAAGGAGACUGUUGGGUACACCUUCUAUCACAAAUCCGAAGGCAAGACUUUUGUUGCUAAAUUCAGAGUUUUUCUAGAGAAGGAGUUUCUCUCGAAAGAAGUGAGUGGGAAGAAAGUAGAACUUGACGAGGUAACAGUACCUGCUCCCUUACUGGAAAGUAGUACAUCACAGAAAAUUGUUUCAGUGACACCUACACCACUUAGUGAGGAAGCUAAUGAUAAUGAUCAUGAAACUUAAGAUCAAGAUACUACUGAACCUCGUAGAUCAACCAGAGUAAGAUCCGCACCAGAGUGGUACGGUAAUCCUGUUCUGGAAGUCAUGCUACUAGAUCAUGAUGAACCUACGAACUAUGAAGAAGCGAUGAUGAGCCCAGAUUCCGAUAAAUGGUUUGAGGCCAUGAAAUCUGAGAUAUGAUCCAUGUAUGAGAACAAAGUAUGGACUUUGGUUGACUUGCCCGAUGAUCGGCAAGCAAUUGAGAAUAAAUGGAUCUUCAAGAGGAAGACAGACACUGAUAGUAGUGUUACUAUCUACAAAGCUAGAAUUGUCGCAAAAAGGUUUUCGACAAGUUCAAGGUGUUAAAUACGAUGAGAGUUUCUCACUCGUAUCUAUGCUUAAGUCUGUCCGAAUCAUGUUAGCAAUUGCCGCAUUUUAUGAAAUCUAGCAAAUGGAUAAACAAAACUGCAUUCCUUAAUAGAGUUAUUAAAGAAGAGUUGUAUAUGAUACAACCAGAAGGUUUUGUCAAUCCUAAAGGUGCUAACAAAAUAUGCAAGCUCUAGCGAUCCAUCUAUGGACUGGUGCAAGCAUCUCAGAGUUGGAAUAUACGCUUUGAUAAGUUGAUCAAAGCAUAUAGUUUUAUACAGACUUGCGGUGAAGCCUGUAUUUACGAGAAAGUGAGUGGGAGCACUAUAGCAUUUCUGAUAAGUAUAUGUGAAUGACAUAUUGUUGAUCGGAAAUAAUGUAGAAUUAUUCUGUAAAGCAUAAAGGAGUAUUUGAAAGGAGUUUUUCAAAGAAAGACUUCGGUGAAGCUGCUUACAUAUUGAGCUUCAAGAUCUACAGAGAUAGAUCAAGACGCUUGAUAAAUUUUUUCAAUAAGUACAUACCUUGACAAGAUUUUGAAAUAGUUCAAAAUGAAGCAGUCAAAGAAAGAGUUUUUGCCUGUAUUACAAGGUGUGAAGUUGAGUAAGACUUAAAGCCCGACCACGGCAGAAGAUAGAAAGAGAAUGAAAGUCAUUCCCUAUGCCUUGGUCAUAGGUUCUAUAAAGUAAGUCAUGCUGUAUACCAGAUCUAUUGUAUACCCUGCACUGAUUUGGCAAGGGAGUACAAUAGUGAUCUAGGAGUAGAUCACUGGACAGCGGUCAGAAUUAUCCUUAGUGAAAUAAGGAUAUGUUUCUCGAUUAUGGACGUGACAAAAAGGUUCGUCGUAAAGGGUUACGCCGAUGCAAGUUUUGACACUAAUCUAGAUGACUCUAAGUCUCGAUCUAGAUACAUAUUGAAAGUGGGAGCAAUUAGCUAGAGUAGCUCCAUGCAGAGCAUUGUUGACAUAGAAAUUUGCAAAAUACUUACGGAUCUGAAUAUAACAGACCCGGUGACUAAAAUUAUCUCACAAAGCAAAACAUGAUCACACCUCAAUACUCUUUGGGUAUUAAUCACACAACGAUGUGAACUAGAUUACUCACUCUAGUAAACCCUUUGGGUGUUGGUCACAUAUCGAUGUGGACUAUGGGUGUUAAUCACAUAGUGAUGUGAACUAUUGCUGUUAAAUCACAUGGCGAUGUGAACUAGAUUAUUGACUCUAGUGCAAGUGGGAGACUGAAGGAAAUAUGCCCUAGAGGCAAUAAUAAAGUUAUUAUUUAUUUCCUUAUUUCAUGAUAAAUGUUUAUUAUUCAUGCUAGAAUUGUAUUAACCGGAAACAUAAUACAUGUGUGAAUACAUAGACAAACAGAAUGUCACUAGUAUGCCUCUACUUGACUAGCUCGUUAAUCAAAGAUGGUUAUGUUUACUAACCAUGGACAAAGAGUUGUUAUUUGAUUAACGAGGUCGCAUCAUUAGUUGAAUGAUCUGAUUGACAUGACCCAUUCCAUUAGCUUAGCACCCGAUCGUUUAGUAUGUUGCUAUUGCUUUUCUUCAUGACUUAUACAUGUUCCUAUAACUAUGAGAUUAUGCAACUCCCGUUUGCCGGAGGAACACUUUGGGUGCUACCAAACGUCACAACGUAACUGGGUGAUUAUAAAGGAGCAUUACAGGUGUCUCCAAAGGUAGAUGUUGGGUUGGCGUAUUUCGAGAUUAGGAUUUGUCACUCCGAUUGUCGGAGAGGUAUCUCUGGGCCCUCUCGGUAAUGCACAUCACAUAAGCCUUGCAAGCACUGCAACUAAGAUUUUAGUUGUGAGAUGAUGUAUUACGGAACGAGUAAAGAGACUUGCCAGUAACGAGAUUGAACUAGGUAUUGGAUACCGACGAUCGAAUCUCGGGCAAGUAACAUACCGAUGACAAAGGGAACAACGUAUGUUGUUAUGCGGUCUGACCGAUAAAGAUCUUCGUAGAAUAUGUAGGAGCCAAUAUGGGCAUCCAGGUCCCGCUAUUGGUUAUUGACCAGAGACAUGUCUCGGUCAUGUCUACAUUGUUCUCGAACCCGUAGGGUCCGCACGCUUAAGGUUACGAUGACAGUUAUAUUAUGAGUUUAUGCAUUUUGAUGUACCGAAGGUUGUUCGGAGUCCCGGAUGUGAUCAAGGACAUGACGAGGAGUCUCGAAAUGGUCGAGACGUAAAGAUUGAUAUAUUGGAAGCCUAUGUUUGGACAUCGGAAGUGUUCCGGGUGAAAUCGGGAUUUUACCGGGUUACCGGGAGGUUACCGGAACCCCCCGGGAGCCAUAUGGGCCUUAGUGGAAAGGUGAAAGGGCUGCCCACAAGGGCUGCGCGCCUCCCCCCUUCCCCUAGUCCUAUUAGGACUAGGAGAGGUGGCCGGCCACCCUUCUCCCUCUUUCCCACUUGGGGAAUCCUAGUUGGAAUAGGAUUGGAGGGGAGUCCUACUCCCGGAAGGAGUAGGACUCCUCCUGCGCCUCUCUCUCUUGGCCGGCGCCCCCUCCCCCCUUGGCUCCUUUAUAUACUGAGGUAGAGACACCCCAAAGACACACAAGUUGAUCCACGUGAUCUAUUCCUUAGCCGUGUGCGGUGCCCCCUGCCACCAUAUUCCUCGAUAAUACUGUAGCGGAGUUUAGGCGAAGCCCUGCUGCUGUAGUACAUCAAGAUCGUCACCACGCCGUCGUGCUGACGGAACACUUCCCCGACACUUUGCUGGAUCGGAGUCAGGGGAUCGUCAUCGAGCUGAAUGUGUGCUUGAACUCGGAGGUGCCGUAGUUUCGGUGCUUGAUCGGUUGGAUCGUGAAGACGUACGACUACUUCCUCUAUGUUGUGUCAACGCUUCCGUUGCAAUCUACAAGGGUACGUAGAUCAUACUCUCCCCUCAUUGCUAUGCAUCACCAUGAUCUUGCGUGCGCGUAGGAAAUUUUUUAAAUUACUACGUUCCCCAACAGUUAGUAAGGGAACUGCAGUGCCCAAAGCACGAGGACCACCACUCUGAAUCCCAACUCAACGCUUAAAGGAGAAGAAGAUUUGUUCUCAGGUCAGGUUCUGUAGCUAUGGUUCAUACUCCUUUGCUCUUGCAUUACUGUAUUUACUCAUACCAACUAUUUCAAAUUUGAAGGAUGGAAUUGAAACUCCAAUGGCGCAACAGGUCUGUUUUAAACCUGUUUCUUUAACUGGUUUUCUGUUGUAACCUGCUCUAUGUUGAUUUCAGUUUCAAUUGAAUAAACAGGUAUGUUCUCAUGUCAUGCACAUUACAAGUGUUGUUAUUGCUCUAUAGUUACCCACACUUAUAUUCUGUCUAUUCUGCUUUGUCUUGAACAAAUAUUAUUUGAACUGUGUCUCUAUCUUGAUUUGGCAACAAAAACUAGAAUGAUAUAGACCAUAAAGUGACCAUGGUACAUAGAUAUAUGUUUGUUUCAUGCUGUUAUCCUGUCCACUUUACUACUGAACUCAUUUACCAAAAUGAGUUUCAUAUACAACAUGGUAAACAUGUGAUGUGUCUGCUUGUUUCUCUUUUAGAAUGUGGACAAAAUAUUGGAGAACAGUACCGCGUUAUCCAAUGGUAAAGGAAGUAAUGCAGAUGAGGUUCAAGAUAGUGAGACAUCCAUGUUGGUCUCUAAGAAAGCUGAUAAAAACUAUCUUGACGACAGUGAGGGAAUCCAAAAGUCCUGUCUUGAUGUAGUGUUCGAGUUACUGGCCACUACUGCUGGCACAAGCUCUUCGAACUCACUGUCUGUAUCAGUUCGUCUUCUUGAGUCUCAACUUCAAGUUGAAAGACAUCGAUCAUAUGUGUUGUGACAGGAAGCUGAAGGACUGAGGAAGUCCCUGCAUAAUUCAGAUGCAUAUUUUUUGGUGCAACAGCAAGCGCUGGAGGAUUUAAGCGCCAAACAAGAGAAAGUUAAUAAGCUUGCUAAGCAUCUUGCCAGGAUUAUGGGUACCCAGGAUAUUGUUUCUUGAGAUCUUCUGAAGUGGUUUCAGUUCUGUAUUUGUUUUGCUGCGGCAUUUAUUUGCGCUGGUCGCCAACUUUGACAACUAGUGUAUAUGAUAUGCUGCUUUGUUCCCUAUAUUUGCACUGGUGGUGAACUUUGAUGCCCAGUGGAUGUAAUAUGUGUAAUAGCCGUGAUAGCCUAGCGUUAGUUGCUUGCUUAUUUAUUUCCUUGUUGUCUUGUUUAUUUGUUUGCUUGUAGUCAUUGCAGUUCUUUUUCCGCGGUUAGCUAGUGGCUGCAAUAACCUAUUUUUUAAAACUAGGCCACAAUAACCAUGGGCUAAUAUUUACUGUAGUGACACUGGGCCGGGCCGUAGAAACAAUGGGCCUUUUGUGGGCCGUAUCAUCAAUGGGCCUUAUACGGGCCGUAUGAUCUAUUGGCCAAACAUGGGCCAAAUAUACCGCAUUAUGGCCGUAAACGGGCUAGAGUUGGAAUCGUCCGUUCAUGGGUCGGCCAUAACGGGCCAUCGUUAAUAGGUCGUAUUUGAUGACGCUAUGAAAAUGGCCCAACGUAUUAAUGGACCACAAACGAGCUGACUGUAACCACAGGCUGAAUUUGGCCCACAAGCAGAAAAUGACAGUAACGGGCCGUAAGUAAACAAAUGCUAGAAAUGGGCCCAAGAAUAAAUGGGCUCUGAGAAGGCCAAAAGAUAACAUGGGCUGGAAACGGCCCAACAGAAUAACGGGUUGUUAAUGGGUAUAAACUGAUACACUGUUCAUUACGGGCCAGUUUCACCACGGGCCAUUAAUGGGUGUAAAGUGAUACAUUGUUCAUUACGGGCUGGUUUCACCACGGGUCGUUAAUAGGCCAAGAGUUACAUAGGGCCUCAUAUGGACCGAAAGACGUCAUGGGCCAUACAUGGGCCAGAAGUGAAAACAGGCUGGAAUCAUAUUGGGUGGCCCAGAUGACGCUACUGGGCCUAAUUCGGAUAGGGCGUAACGGGCCUUGGGUUAGCGGGCUGUAAAUGGGCUAUAUGCGAACAGGUCAUUAACAGGCUUUACAUGGGCCGGCCCGCCACCUUUUGACCAAGUCAAACGGGCCGGCCUUUUCACAUGAAUGGGCCUCUGUUGGGCCGUGCCACGUGUCGACGUAUCAAAGGCGCCUUCUGUCCAAUGAGUGGAUGACAUCUGUCCCAACGAUGAGCUGACACGUGUUUCCUCCAGCCAAUGAUGAUUUUACACGUGGAAAAUCCCCAUUGGUCGGGGCUGUUAACGGGUUAUCAGAUCCAAAACCCGACCCGAUAGCUUAACGGCGUUCCGUUACGGUGGAUGCCACGUGUCGGUCACCCUUGACGAAAGCACUUCUGUGACGCGGGAUUUAUCGUCGUGGAAUUGGACACUUUCGCGAUGAUAAUUUUGGUAAUGUCAUGGAACACUUCUACGACAGCACAGGUAUGACUAUCUUGAUUCUGUCAUAAAAUCAUCAUGGAUGUACAUGCAUGACAGAAAAUGCGACCUACUGUGACAAACACGUAUCAUCACGGAAGUGUAUUUUUUUGUAGUGAAAACUCACAACUAGGUCAUACUAAGAACUUUUAUUCUACUAGAUCAAGAUAUUACCAAAAGGAUCAAACUAUGAAAAACGGUAAAGAUAAAAGUGAUGGUGAUACGAUACCGGGGCACUCCCCCAAGCUUGGCAGUUGCCAAGUGGAGUGCCCAUACCAGAUACUCAAUUCUUCUUUGUUGGUGGAGACAGUAGUGAUUUUGUUGAUGGUGUAGGCUUCUUCCUUAAUUUGCGCUUGAGGACAGAAUUUUGGUCCCUUAGGUCCUCGAUCUCCUGCUCCAAGCUCAAUAUCUUUUUGCAUAGUUCAUGUUUGUUCUCCUGCAAGAGGCGAAAAGGGAUAAACUCGAUCUUAGGUUUCUUUGCCCUAUCCGGGAGGCUUAACUUUUUGAACUCCACAUGCAUGUCCUGUAACACCCCGUAUGUAACCUGCCAUAUUUGUAUUCCAACUCUUGCCAUUUCCGGCACUAAGUUAUGUUAUUUCCUCGUUGUCGAGUUUUUGUCUUCGUGUUGUUUUGUCUUUGUCAUGCAUAUCAUGUCAUCAUGUGCAUCGCAUUUCAUACAUGUUCGUAUCAUGCAUCCGAGCUUUUUCCCCGUUAUCCGUUUUGCAUUCCGGCGCUCCUAUGUCCUCCGGUGUCCCCUUUUACCUCUUUUCGUGUGCGGGUGUUAAACCUUAUUGGAUUGGACCGAGACUUGCCAAGUGCCUUGGUUUACUACUGAUAGACCGCCUGUCAAGUUUCGUGCCAUUUGGACUUCGUUUGAUACUCCAAUGGUUAACUAAGGAACCGUAAAGGCCUCGUGUGUGUUGCAUCCCAACACCUCCCCAAAGUGGCCCAAAACCCACCUAAACCCCAUCCAUCAUCUCGGUCGUUCGAUCACGAUCGUGUGGCCGCAAACCGUACUCAAUUUGGAGCCUCCUAGCUCCCUCUACCUAUAAAUAGGCAUAUCCCCCCGAAAAUCCCGGAUCAAACCACCCUAUCCCUAGCUCCCCUCACCUCUGCGCGGCCGGACGCGUCCGCCCGCCGCCGGACAGGAUCCCGCCGCUGCCACGCAUCACCUCCCAACUCGUCGCCCGUGCGCCCCACUUCGCCGGCCCGUCCGGGUCCAGGGCAGGCCCUCCCAGCCCGCCUCNNNNNNNNNNNNNNNNNNNNNNNNNNNNNNNNNNNNNNNNNNNNNNNNNNNNNNNNNNNNNNNNNNNNNNNNNNNNNNNNNNNNNNNNNNNNNNNNNNNNNNNNNNNNNNNNNNNNNNNNNNNNNNNNNNNNNNNNNNNNNNNNNNNNNNNNNNNNNNNNNNNNNNNNNNNNNNNNNNNNNNNNNNNNNNNNNNNNNNNNNNNNNNNNNNNNNNNNNNNNNNNNNNNNNNNNNNNNNNNNNNNNNNNNNNNNNNNNNNNNNNNNNNNNNNNNNNNNNNNNNNNNNNNNNNNNNNNNNNNNNNNNNNNNNNNNNNNNNNNNNNNNNNNNNNNNNNNNNNNNNNNNNNNNNNNNNNNNNNNNNNNNNNNNNNNNNNNNNNNNNNNNNNNNNNNNNNNNNNNNNNNNNNNNNNNNNNNNNNNNNNNNNNNNNNNGACCGCGCCGGCGAGCACCUCCUCACCGUCCGGCGCCGACCUCGUCCAAGUCCGGCUCCCCUCCAUCUCCGGCGAGUUCAAGCUCCCGUGAGCACUGUUCCGGUCAUCCUCGUAAAACGCUCCCCGGAUCCAGAUCUGAGGAACCCUAGCCAGGUUGACUUUUUCUCUAAGUCUUGGUAAUUUUUAGCUUUCUUCUUUGCAUCAUAACUCAUCACCCGCGGCUCCGUUUUGGGCAUGUAGCAUAUCAAAUUGUUCGUCUCGAUGAGUACUUCAUUUCAUUCCAUUGCACCAUGUUCAUUUGAGUUCAUCUUGAUGCCCUAAAUGUUGUUGCAAGAGUGCUAUGCAAUGUUAGUUUCAGAUUCUUAUCAGAAUUUGGACAUUUGUCACUUUUGUCAUGUUUAAUGUGUGCCUCCUAUGAACUUGAGCCCUACAUGUGUUUUGAAGUAUGCCAUGCCAUCUUCACAGGGGUGUAUGUCAUGUAUUUUUGAGAUCUUUGUGGUGGCUAGCACAAGCAUGCAAAGUAGCUCUCGUAAUGUUGCUGAUUUCAGGGACUUAGAAAUCUUCUAAGUCAUUUCCCUGAUAAUAUUUUUAUGCCAUGUAUUCUUGUUGCUACAGAGUGAUCCAUGCCUCUUUUGAGCAUGUUAAGUAAGGAUGUUUUGUAGAUGUUGUUAUGCUCUAUCCAUCCAUGUCUUUGUUUGCAAUUAUGGAGCACCCUAGCUUGACUCAAUCGAGCUCUACUUUUGCUAUAAAUUGUUCCUGGCAGAUUGUUUACAUGUUAAGCAAUUUUGCCGAGGUUGUUGUAGUUGAUCCAUGCAUGCUAUGAGGUUUUUCUUGUCAUGUUUAGCUUCUAUGCCAUGUCUACUUGCUGGGUGUAUGCUUAGUUUGUCAUGCAAUGCCUUGUGGUGAGUGCAUCGAGCUCGUAAACAUGCCUACGUGAAUCUGUUUUGCCAUGUUCCAGUUUUCUGCUAAGUCUGAAUCUGUUAACGAAAGUUGCUAUGUUCACAUGGUUGCCAUUGUAUUUUCUGAUCCCUUUUGGCUUAUGGUCAGUAAGGUACUUUUGUUGUAUGCUUUGAGUAGCUUCAUGCCCUGCCCUGCUUUGCCAUGAUAUGUUCCUGUAGCAUAUUGUUAUCUUGCUCUAAACAUUGCUUCCUGAUGUUAAAUUCCUGACAUGUUAUUUUCACUAAGUCUAUAACCUGAUAUCUUUUGCACUUUUUCCAUGCUUGUUUGAACCUGCUAUUGUGUGGAUUAGCCGUAGCUCAGUGUUCAUCUUUUGUCAAGCUUCUUGAGUGGAUCCCUACCAUGUGCUUUGUUGUUAUGUUAGGGUGCAGUAUCUUGUUGUUCUUGAUGCAUUUAGAUGGCCUCGUGCUGUUAAUCCCAGAUCGGUGCCAUAUUUGUUUUGCUUGCCAUUUGCAAACCGUGCAUCCGAUUCCGGUGAUCUUUAUAUCGAUUUCGACUGAAAUCAACUCAUCUUUCCAGUGGAACUCUUGGUUUUCCAAUUUGAGGCCAGGUUCAAUCUUUCCUUUCCAAAGUAUGUGUAUGCAUUGCAUAUCACAUCCCGCAUAUCAUGCCAUGUUUUGCAUCAUGUUGCUUGUGCAUUGCACGUAGUUGAUUGUGUCUCCCUUUGCUUGUGUUCUUGCUUUAGGUAGAGCCGGGAGACAAGUACGUGAUCGAGGAGCCCGUUGAGUACACUUACGAGGAUCAAGCUAACUCAACUCGGAGAACUUUGCAGGCAAGAUGACCAUACCCUCGAAAUCACUUCUAUCUUUGCUUGCUAGAUGCUCGCUCUAUUGCUAUGCCUAUGCUACGAUACCUACCACUUGCUUAUCAUGCCUCCCAUAUCGCCAUGUCAACCCUCUAACCCACCUUGUCCUAGCAAACCGUUGUUUGGCUAUGUUACCGCUUUGCUCAGCCCCUCUUAUAGUGUUGCUAGUUGCAGGUGAAGAUUGGAGUUUGUUCCUUGUUGGAACAUGUUUAUUGUUGGGAUAUCAUUAUUAUAUCUUGUCUACCUUAAUGCAUCUAUAUACUUGGUAAAGGGUGGAAGGCUCGGCCUUAUGCCUGGUUUUUUGUUCUACUCUUGCCGCCCUAGUUUCCGUCAUACCGGUGUUAUGUUCCUUGAUUUUGCGUUCCUUACACGGUUGGGUUAUAAUGGGAACCGCUUGACAGUUCGCCUUGAAUAAAACUCCUCCAGCAAGGCCCAACCUUGGUUUUACAAUUCGCCACCUAGCCUCUUUUUCCCUUGGGUUCCGCGGACUCAAGGGUCAUCUUUAUUUUAAACCCCCGGGCCAGUGCUCCUCUGAGUGUUGGUCCAACUUGUCAGCCGCCGGUGGCCACCAGGGGCAACUCUGGGCUGGCCUACCGGAAGUUUGGACAAUCUGGUGUGCCCUGAGAACGAGAUAUGUGCAGCUCCUAUCGGGAUUUGUCAGCACAUUCGGGUGGCUUUGCUGGUUUAGUUUUACCAUUGUCGAGAUGUCUUGUAACCGGGAUUCCGAGUCUGAUCGAAUUGUCUUGGGAGAAGGAAUAUCCUUCGUUGACCGUGAGAGCUUGUGAUGGGCUAAGUUGGGACACCCCUGCAGGGUUUUGAACUUUCGAAAGCCGUGCCCGCGGUUAUGGGCAGAUGGGAAUUUGUUAAUGUCCGGUUGUAGAUAACCUGAAACUUAACUUAAUUAAAAUGGAUCAACAGCGUGUGUGGCCGUGAUGGUAUCUUUUCAGCGGAAUCCGAGAAGAGAACACGGUCUUGAGUUAUGCUUGAACGUAGGUUGUUCUAGGAUCACUUCUUGAUCAUAGUUUCUUGACUGUGCCUUGCCUUCUCUUCUCGCUCUCAUUUGCGUAUGUUAGCCACCAUAUAUGCUAGUGCUUGCUGCAGCUCCACCUCAUACCUUUACCUACCUAUAAGCUUAAAUAGUCUUGAUCGCGAGGGUGUGAGAUUGCUGAGUCCUCGUGACUCACGGAUUACUUCAAAAACCAGAUGCAGGGACCGAUGAUACCGCUCCAGGAGAUUCGACUGAGCUCAAGUGGGAGUUCGAUGAGGACUCAGGACGAUACUAUGUUUCCUUUCCAGACGAUUAGUAGUGGAGCCCAGUUGGGGCGAUCGGGGACAUUGUUGCAUUUGGGGCUGUCUUUAUUUUGGUUCCGUAGUCGGACCUUGAUUGUAUCUGGAUGCAUGUAAUGUUUUAUUUAUGCUAUUGUGUGACGUGGCGUUUGUAAGCCAACUAUGUAUCUCUUUCCUUAUUCAUUACAUGGGUUGUGUGAAGAUUACCCCACUCGCGACAUUGCUUACAAUGCGGUUAUGCCUCUAAGUCGUGCUUCAACACGUGGGAGAUAUAGCCGCAUCGUGGGUGUUACAUGUCCCCAUGUUGAGGUAGUGGGACUUCAUCUUCAUCUGAGCUCAUCUCCUCCUUUCACUUGGGUUCAUAGUCCUGUUCUUCUUCCGUAGUCCAACCGCAAUGCUCCACAUCCCCAUAAACCUUAGGAUCUGCAAAGUAAUCAGCCACGUAGCUUUCUCCUUCCGAAUCCUGGGAUAACAUGUUGCUCUGUCUGUAGCAGGACAGCUCAAAACAAAGACAAGAAAUAUUUGUGUGAUAUGGGAGUCAAAACUCCCGGGAGGUUAUAUAAUGAAUUUUUACCAACCAAAAUAUGUGUCAUGUAAGAAAAUAGAGUCCGGAGAGCACACGAGGUGCCCACGAGGUAGGGGGCGCCCAGGGGGGUAGGGCACGCCCUCCACCCUCGUGGAGCCCUCGUGUCCUUUCCGGACUGCUGCUUAUUUUUCUAUUUUUCUAAAUAUUCCAAAACGGAGUAAUAUUGCCUUAAAACUGUUUUGGAGUCGGUUUACUUACCGUACCACAUACCUAUUCCUUUUCGCGGUCUGAAACGUUCCGGAAAGUGUCCUUUAUGUAUUCCUCCGGGGUUACGGUUUCAAUAACAUUGGUUUCAACAUUUAUGGGAUUACCUGAGAUAUAGUGUUUGAUUCUUUGACCGUUCACCACCUUCGGAUUUGUGCCUUCGAAGUUGUUGAUUUUUAUGGCACCGGAACGAUAGACCUCCUCGAUAACGUAAGGGCCUUCCCAUUUAGAGAGAAGUUUUCCUGCAAAAAAUCUUAAACGAGAGUUGUAUAGUAAUACAUAAUCACCUACCUUAAACUCGCGCUUUUGUAUCCUUUUAUCAUGCCACCUUUUAACUUUUUCUUUAAACAACUUGGCAUUUUCGCAGGCUUGGGUUCUCCAUUCAUCAAGUGAGCUAAUAUCAAAUAACCUCUUCUCACCGGCAAGUUUAAAAUCAUAAUUAAGUUCUUUAAUGGCCCAAUAAGCCUUGUGUUCUAGUUCGAGAGGUAAGUGACAUGCUUUUCCAUAGACCAUUUUGUACGGAGACAUACCCAUAGGAUUUUUAUAUGCAGUUCUAUAGGCCCAUAAUGCAUCAUCAAGUUUCUUGGACCAAUUCUUUCUGGACCUAUUAACAGUCUUUUGCAAAAUUAAUUUGAGUUCUCUAUUACUCAAUUCUACUUGACCACUAAACUGAGGGUGAUAAGGAGAUGCAAUUCUAUGAUUAACAUCAUAUUUAGCAAGCAUUUUACGGAAAGCACCAUGAAUAAAAUGUGAGCCACCAUCAGUCAUUAAAUAUCUAAGGACUCCAAACCUUUGAAAAAUAACUUCUUUAAGCAUUUUAAUAGAAGUGUUAUGAUCAGCACUACUAGUUGGAAUAGCUUCUACCCACUUGGUAACGUUAUCAACAUCAACUAAAAUAUGUGUAUACCCAUUAGAGGAAGGAAAGGGUCCCAUAUAGUCAAAGCCCCAAACAUCAAAUGGUUCAAUAACAAGUGGAUAAUUCAUAGGAAUUUCUUGACGUCUACUAAUAUUACCAAUUCUUUGACAUUCAUCACAAGAUAAGACAAACUUACGGGCAUCCUUGAAGAGAGUAGGCCAAUAAAAACCAGAUUGCAGUACCUUAUGUGCAGUUCUAUCUCCAGCAUGGUGUCCUCCAUAAGCUUCAGAGUGACACUUGCGUAGGAUCUGUUCAUGUUCAUGCUCAGGUACACAACGUCUAAUAACACCAUCUACUCCUUCUUUAUAAAGAUGUGGGUCAUCCCAAAAGUAAUGCCUCAAAUCAUAGAAGAACUUUUUCUUUUGCUAGUAUGUGAAACUAGGUGGUAUAAACUUAGCAACAAUGUAAUCAGCAUAGUCAGCAUACCAUGGAGCAGUAUGAGAAGUAUUUAUGACAUUUAAUUGCUCAUCAUGAAAGCUAUCAUCAAUAGGUAGUGGGUCAUCAAGCACAUUUUCUACCCUAGACAAGUUGUCUGCAACGGGGUUCUUAGCUCCUUUUCUAUCAACAAUAUGUAAAUCAAAUUCUUGUAGCAAGAGGACCCAUCUAAUAAGUAUAGGUUUAGCAUAUUUCUUUUCCAUAAGAUAUUUGAUAGCAGCAUGAUCAGUGUGAAUAGUUACUUUAGAAUCAACAAUAUAAGGUAUAAACUUAUCACAGGCAAAUACAACUGCUAAGAAUUCUUUUUCAGUAGUGGCAUAAUUUCUUUGAGCAUUGUCUAGAGUGUUACUAGCAUAUUGAAUAACAUUUAGUCUCUUAUCAACUCUUUGUCCUAGAACAGCACCUACAGCAUAAUCACUAGCAUCACACAUAAUUUCAAAGGGUAAAUUCCAAUCAGGUGGCUGAACAAUAGGUGCAGAGAUCAAUGCUUUCUUAAGUAUUUCAAAUGCUUCUACACAAUCAUCAUAAAAGACAAAUGGUAUAUCUUUUUGUAAUAAAUUAGUCAGAGGCCAAGAGAUUUUUGAGAAGUCCUUAAUGAACCUCCUAUAAAAACCGGCAUGACCAAGGAAACUUCUUAUACCUUUGAUGUCCUUGGGACAUGGCAUCUUUUCAAUAGCAUCAACCUUGGCUUUAUCAACUUCAAUACCUCUUUUAGAAACUUUAUGCCCCAGGACAAUGCCUUCAUUAACCAUAAAGUGGCACUUUUCCCAAUUCAAGACAGGAUUAGUUUCUUCACAUCACUGCAAAACUCGAUCAAGGUUGCUCAAGCAUUCAUCAAAAGAAGAUCCAUAGACAGAAAAAUCGUCCAUGAAAACCUCACAAAUCUUUUCACAAAAGUCAGAGAAUAUAGCCAUCAUGCAUCUUUGAAAGGUAGCAGGUGCAUUACAUAAACCAAAAGUCAUACGUCUAUAAGCAAAAGUACCAAAAGAGCAAGUAAAAGUAGUCUUUGAUUGAUCUUUGGCUGACACAGGUAUUUGAGAGAAACUAGAAUAACCAUCUAGAAAGCAGAAAUGUGUAUGUUUGGAUAAUCUUUCUAGCAUUUGAUCGAUAAAAGGUAAGGGGUAAUGAUCCUUUUUAGUAGCCUUAUUUAAUUUGCGAAAAUCAAUUACCAUCCUAUAACCAGUGAUAAUUCUUUGAGGAAUCAAUUCAUCUUUAUCAUUAGGAACAACAGUAAUACCUCCCUUCGUAGGGACACAAUGGACAGGACUUACCCACUUACUAUCAGCAACGGGAUAAAUUAUACCUGCCUCAAGGAGCUUUAGUAUCUCCUUUCUUACCACUUCUUUCAUUUUAGGAUUCAGCCGACGUUGAUGAUCACGAACUGGUUUAGCGUCUUCUUCCAAAUAAUUUUAUGUUGACAUAGAGUGGGACUAAUGCCCUUAAGAUCAUCAAGAGUAUACCCAAUAGCAGCAUGGUGCUUCUUCAGAGUUUUCAAUAAUCUCUCUUCUUCAUGUUCUGAAAGGUUAGCACUAAUAAUAAUAGGGUAUAUCUUUUUCUCAUCAAGAUAAGCAUAUUUAAGAGUAUCAGGUAACGGUUUAAGCUCAAACACAGGAUCACCCUUGGGUGGAGGAGGAUCCCCUAGGAUUUCAACAGGUAAAUUGUUUUUCAGAAUAGGUUCCUGUUUAAAGAAUACUUCAUCUAAUUCCCUUCUUUCAUUCAUAAACAUGUCAUUUUCAUGGUCUAGCAAAUAUUGUUCUAACGGAUCACUAGGAGGUACGGCAAUAGAAGCAAGACCAAUAAUUUCAUCCUUACUAGGUAAUUCUUCUUCACGGUGUUGUCUACUAAAUUUAGAAAAAUUAAAUUCAUGAGUCAUAUCAUCUAAACCGACAGUAACAACAUCCCUUUUGCAAUCUAUGAUAGCAUUAACAGUAUUUAAGAAGGGUCUACCAAAUAUAAUGGGACAAAAACUAUCUUGUGGGGAACCAAGAAUAAGAAAAUCAGCAGGAUAUUUAGUUUUCCCACACAAAACUUCAACAUCUCUAACAAUUCCCAUUGGUGAAAUAGUAUCUCUAUUAGCAAGUUAGUUGUGACAUCAAUAUCUUCCAUCUCAGCAGGUGCAAUAUCAUGCAUAACUUCUUGGUAUAAAGAAUAAGGUAUUGCACUAGCACUAGCACCCAUAUCACACAAGCCAUGAUAACAAUGAUCUCCUAUUUUAACAGAAAUAACAGGAAUGCCUAUCACAGGUCUAGGUUUAUCUAUAUCACAGGGUUUAGCAAUUCUAGCAGUUUCAUUACAGAAAUAAAUAACAUGCCCAUCUAUAUUAUUAGACAAGAGAUCUUUAACAAUAGCAAUAUUAGGUUCAGCUUUAACUUGCUCAGGAGGUGUAUAUGUUUUAAUAUUGCUUUUAUGAACCACAGUUGAAGCUUUAGCAUGAUCUUUUAUCCUAACAGGGAAAGGUGGUUUCUCAACAUAAGAAGUAGGAACAAUAGGAUCAUUAUAAGUAAUAGUCUUUUCUUCAACUUUAAUAGGUGCAGCUACUUUUACUUCUAUGGGAGGAUGAUAUUUAAACCACUUCUCCUUGGGGAGAUCAACAUAAGCAGCAAAAGAUUCACAGAAAGAAGCUACUAUCUCAGAGUCAAGUCCAUAUUUAGUGCUAAAUUUACGAAAAUUAUCGGUAUCCAUAAAAGAUUUAACACAAUCAAAACUAGGUGUUAUACCUGACUCCUUACCAUUGUCGAGGUUCCAAUCUUCGGAGUUGCGUUUAAUUCUUUCCAAUAAAUCCCAUUUGAAUUCAAUAGUCUUCAUCAUAAAAGAGCCAGCACAAGAAGUAUCAAGCAUGGUGCGAUUGUUACCAGAAAGCCGAGCAUAAAAAUUUUGAAGAAUCACUUCUCUUGAGAGCUCAUGAUUGGGACAUGAAUAUAACAUUGAUUUAAGCCUCCCCCAAGCUUGAGCGAUGCUUCCUCCUUCGCGAGGCCAAAAAUUAUAUAUAUAAUUGCGAUCACGAUGAACAAGAUGCAUAGGAUAAAACUUUUGAUGAAAUUCCAAUUUCAAUCGUUUGUAGUUCCAAGACUCCAUAUCAUCACAUAGCCUAUACCAUGCCAAUGCAUCUCCCCUCAAAGAUAAAGGGAAGACCUUCUUCUUAAAAACAUCUCCGGGUACACCUGCAAGCUUAAACAAUCCACAAACUUCAUCCACAUAUAUUAGAUGCUCAUCAGGAUGUUUUGUUCCAUCUCGUAAAAAAAGGAUUAGCUAGCAGUUUUUCUACCAUACCCAAAGGAAUUCAAAGCAAGCAUUCUCAUUUUCAGUAGGUUCAGUAGGUUGAGGAGCAACUCUUUGCUCUACUGGUCGGGGUGAAGAUACCCCUAACAAGCCCCUCAGAGGAUUACGUUCCAUAAUAACAAGCGACAGUAAAUUUCAGCACACUAUAUAAAUUAUUCCUUACCAAAUUCCAUCUACCAAAGGCGCUUCACUCCCCGGCAACGGCGCCAGAAAAGAUUCUUGAUGACCCACAAGUAUAGGGGAUCUAUCAUAGUCCUUUCAGUAAGUAAGAGUGUCGAACCAAACGAGGAGCAAAAGGAAAUGAUAAGCGGUUUCCAGCAAGGUAUUCUCUGCAAGUACUGAAAUAAGUGGUAACAGAUAGUUUUGUGAUAAGAUAAUUUGUAAGGAACAACAAGUAAAGAAAGUAAAUAAGGUGCAGCAAGGUGGCCCAAUCCUUUUCGUAGCAAAGGACAAGCCUGGACAAACUCUUAUAUGAUGUAAAGCGCUUCCGAGGACACAUGGGAAUAUCGUCAAGCUAGUUUUCAUCGCGUUCAUAUGAUUCGCGUUCGGUACUUUGAUAAUUUGGUAUGUGGGUGGACCGGUGCUUGGGUGCUGCCCUUACUUGGACAAGCAUCCCACUUAUGAUUAACCUCUAUUGCAAGCAUCCGCAAAUACAACAAAAGUAUUAAGGUAAACCUAACCAUAGCAUGAAACAUAUGGAUCCAAAUCAGCCCCUUACGAAGCAACGCAUAAACUAGGGUUUAAGCUUCUGUCACUCUAGCAACCCAUCAUCUACUUAUUACUUCCCAAUGCCUUCCUCUAGGCCCAAAUAAUGGUGAAGUGUCAUGUAGUCGACGUUCACAUAACACCACUAGAGGAGAGACAACAUACAUCUCAUCAAAAUAUCGAACAAAUACCAAAUUCACAUGACUACUAAUAGCAAGACUUUUCCCAUGUCCUCAGGAACAAAAGUAACUACUCACAAAGCAUAAACAUGUUCAUAAUCAGAGGGGUAUUAAUAUGCAUAUAGGAUCUGAACAUAUGAUCUUCCACCAAUUAAACCAACUAGCAUCAACUACAAGGAGUAAUUAACACUACUAGCAAGCUACUAGCACCAAUCCCGGACUUGGAGACAAGAAUUGGAUACAAGAGAUGAACUAGGGUUUUGAGAUGAGAUGCUGCUGAUGAAGAUGUUGAUGGAGAUUGCCCUCUCCCGAUGAGGGGAGCGUUGGUGAUGACGAUGGCGAUGAUUUCCCCCUCCGGGAGGGAAGUUUCCCUGGCAGAACAGCCCCGCCAGAACCCUAGAUUGGUUCCGUCAAGGUUCCGCCUCGUGGUGGCGGAGUUUCGUCCGAGAAGAUGGCUUAUGAUUUUUUUUCCACCGAAAGAGUCCAUAUAGCAUAAGAUGGUCACCUGAGGGCCACUAUGGGGCCCAUGAGGUAGUGGGGCACGCCUAGCGGGGUAGGGCGCACCCCCCACCCUCGUGGGCAGGGUGUGGCCCCCCUGGUGAACUUCUUGCGCUGAGUAUUUUUUAUAUAUUCUGAAAACGUCUUCCGUGAAGUUUCAGGACUUUUGGAGCUGUGCAGAAUAGGUCUCUAAUAUUUGCUCCUUUUCCAGCCAGAAUCCCAACUGCCGGCAUUCUCCCUCUUUAUGUAAACCUUGUAAAAUAAGAGAGAAUAGGCAUAAGUAUUGUGACAUAAUGUGUAAUAACAGCCCAUAAUGCAAUAAAUAUUGAUAUAAAAGCAUGAUGCAAAAAGGACGCAUCACCCCCCCCUUCCUUGUUUGAGUGCGGGAGAAAGGCAGGGGGUGGUGCCCCCCCCCUUUCCUUUCUCUCAUGAGGAGGGAAAGGCGGGAGGGGCCAACCCUCCCCCUUUCCUUCCCCUAGGGUCGGCGGCCAGGGAGAGGGGCCGCCAGCCCCCUUGUGGGCUGGUGUGUCUCUUCCCUUGGCCCAUUAGGCCCAUAGACCUCCCGGGGGUGUCCGGAACCCCUUCCGGCGAUCCGAGACUACCCGGUGCACUCUGAAACUCUUCUGGUGUCCAAAUAGUAUCGUCAUAUAUAUCAAUCUUUACCUCCGGACCAUUCCGGAGCUCCUCGUCAUGUUCGUGAUCUCAUCCGGGACUCCGAACAACAUUUGGUCACCAAAUCAUAUAGCUCAUAUAACACUAUAUUGUCAGCGAACGUUAAGCAUGCGGACCCUGCGGGUUCGAGAACUAUGUAGACAUGACUGAGACACCUCUCCAGUCAAUAACCAAUAGCGGAACCUGUAUGCCCAUAUAUAUUGGUUCCUACAUAUUCUACGAAGAUCUUUAUCGGUCGAACCUUGUGACAACAUACGUAAUUCCCUUUGUCUAUUGGUCUAUUACUUGCCUGAGAUUCGAUCGUCGGUAUCUUCAUACCUAGUUCAAUCUCGUUAUCGGCAAGUAUCUUUAUUCGUUCCGUAAUAUAUCAUCUCAUAACUAACUCCUUAGUCACUUUGCUUGCAAGAUUCUUAUGAUGUGUAUUACCGAGAGGGCCCAGAGAUACCUCUUCGACACUCGGAGUGACAAAUCCUAAUCUCGAUCCAUGCCAACUCAACAGACACCUUCGGAGAUACAUGUAGAGCAUCUUUAUGAUCACCCAGUUAUGUUGUGACGUUUGAUAGCACACAAGGUAUUCCUCCGGUAUCCGGGAGUUGGAUGAUCUCAUAGUCGAAGGAACAUGUAUUUGACAUUAAGAAAGAUAUAGCAAUAAACUGAACGGUCAUAUACUAAGCUAACGGAUGGGUCUUGUCCAUCACAUCAUUCUCCUAAUGAUGUGAUCCUGUUAUCAAAUGACAACACAUGUCUGUGGUUAGGAAACCUUAACCAUCUUUGAUCAACGAGCUAGUCUAGUAGAGGCACACUAGGGACAUGGUAUAUUGUUUAUGUAUCCACACAUGUAUCUAAGUUUCCAAUCAAUAGAAUUCUAGCAUGAAUAAUAAACCUUUAUCAUGAAUAAGGAAAUAUAAAAUAACAACUUUAUUAUUGCCUCUAGGGCAUAUUUCCUUCACUUUGUGAAUGGAACAACUCAUGCCUUAUUUAUGUUAUAUUACUCAUGCUUUCCGGUUAUUGUGAGUUGAAAGUCCAAUGGCAUGUGUGGUUUCCAGAAAUGCUUCAUGCACCUCCCAAGAUACCGAUGAACUCUUCCUCAACAAUCUGAAAGCAACGCGGCUUCGGCUCCAGGUGGACAUCACGCUGCCCUCCCGCUUCCAAGACCCGUGAGCAGAUCAACACCAUCAAACAUUGGCGACUCCAUUUGGCUUGAGUUACUCAUUUCUACACUUUGGAAGAUUUAGGACUCGAGAAAUGUUGCGGCUUUUCAGAACUCCAACCACCCUAGUUCGGUCACCAUUAGAAAUGUUUGCUCAACUUUGUUUUAUGGAUGCAUCAGUUUAAAGAAAUGAAUUAUAGUGUUGCCCCCCUGGUGAUACUAUCUCUCUUCACACCUUAGUUAAACAGAUGGAAAAAGGAAAAGAUAUAGACUUUAUUUCAAAUUGCAUCCAAAAUAGCCUAUGGAGGGAAUGGUUUCCAAUCAUUGUGAAUUGAACACCUUAUUUAUGUUAUUUUAAUAUGUCUUUCCAGUUCUUCUGGAUUGAAUGCUCCAUGCCAUAUGUAGUUUCCAGCAAUGGUUCAUGCAUCACACAAGACACCGAUCAACUCUUCCUCAACAGUCCCAAAGUAAUGUGGAUUGUUGGACAUCACGCCGCCCUCUUGUUUCCAAGACCCGUGAGCAGAUCAACACCAUCAAACAUCGCCGACUCCAUUUGGCAUGAGGUACUCCUUUCAAUACUUUGGAAGAUUGAGGACUGGAGAAAUGUUGUAGUUUUCGUGGACACCGACCACCCUAGUUCGGUCGCCAUCAUAAAAAAAUCAAACUUUGAUUUAUGGAUGCAUCGGUUUAAAGAAAUGAACAAUCAUGUUGCCUCCCCCUUAUGGUGAGACUCUCUCUUCACACAUUUGUUAAACUAUAGGGGGGAGAUGUAGACUUUAUUUCAAACGUACAAAAUAGCCUAUGAGGGAAAAUAGUUUCUGAUCGUUGUGAAUUGAACACCUGAUGCCUAAUUUAUGUUAUUUUAAUACUGAUUUUAGUUCUGGUGAAUUAAAUGUCCAAUGCCAUAUGUUGUUCCCAGAAAUGGUUCAUACACCUCCCUAGACACCGAUCAACUCUUCCUCAACAGUCCGAAAGCAAUGCGGAUUCAGCUCCAGUUGGACAUCACGCCACCCUCCCGCUUCUAAGAUCAUUGAGUAGAUCAACACCGUCAAACAUCGGCGACUCCAUUUGGCAUGAGGUACUCCUUUCUAUACUUUGGACGAUAUAGGACUCGAGAAACGUUGCAGUUUUCCAAAACUUCGGUCACCCUAGUUUGGUCACCAUUAGAAAUAUUAGUUCAAAGUUUGAUUUAUGGAUGCAUCAUUUUAAAGAAAUGAAUGCUGUCGCUCCAUGAUGGUGAAACUAUCUCUCUUCAGACUUUAGUUAAACUACAAGAAAAAGGAAAGGAUGUACACUGUAUUUCAAAUUGCUUAUAAANNNNNNNNNNNNNNNNNNNNNNNNNNNNNNNNNNNNNNNNNNNNNNNNNNNNNNNNNNNNNNNNNNNNNNNNNNNNNNNNNNNNNNNNNNNNNNNNNNNNNNNNNNNNNNNNNNNNNNNNNNNNNNNNNNNNNNNNNNNNNNNNNNNNNNNNNNNNNNNNNNNNNNNNNNNNNNNNNNNNNNNNNNNNNNNNNNNNNNNNNNNNNNNNNNNNNNNNNNNNNNNNNNNGGGGGGUCCGAUCCUUGUGAAUUGAACACAUGAUGCCUUAUUUAUGUUAUUUUAAUACUAAAACUUUUUUAGCAAGAAUUUUAUUCCCGUGACACUUUUUUACCUUGUUGUUUCUUUUCCCUGUGACACUUUUUUACAAGUUUGUUGUCCUUGAGACAUUUUUUAUGGACUUUUUCUACAUAAUUCUACACAAUCUCUUAGAAUUUGAGAGAAUUUAGUGAAAUUUCGUAGACUUUGAUAUAAUAACCUACUGAACAUAUUCGACUUGCCCACCAGCUCGGCUGCCAGUCAAUCUAAGGAUUGGGGCAUGUUGCCUGCCUGGAAAUAUGGUAAUGAUUUCAAGGAGGGCACGCCUAAGAAAUAAAUGAGGCAAGAUUUCCAAAUAAUGUGAAAGUUAUCACAAGAUCGUAACUAGAAGUUAUGGACUAUAUAUUCUGCAAAUCUGAGCAAGAAGAUCUGUUUAGAUCUGAUUUUUGGAAUUGACCAAAGUAGCUAAACUUCUUAGGAACUGUAGUGCAACAUAUUUAUCUUUGGAAUCUAGCUAACAAAAAUCAGUUUUGUUCUUAAUUAUGAGGGAGAAAAUUGUGCAAGUUUGUCAUGGGAAAUACUAGUUACAAAUAUAAUUUUUCAACUAACACAUAUUCGGUAAGCGCUUAACAAGAUAAUACAUCCGCCAUAUAGAUAGUUUCGCAUACGACAAAUUUCAUGAUCUAUAUACGUGUGCGCCAAGUUAUUCCUAGGGUAAUCGCGCGCCAACCGAAGUUUUCGAAAUUCCCCACACAAAAAUCGUACCUUGCAACUGCCCCAUAACUCGUACCCAUAAGAAGAACAAAUUAGAAGUUAGUACAAAAGAUUGCAUUCAUAAUCGGAAUUGUACUUAUAGAACAUAAUUAAGGAGAGCUAGCUGAUCACUAAGAUACAACAACUUAACCUAAGACCAAGCGACCCUUAGGCUAGCUCACUACGAUACAACAAUAAUAAUAACAAAACAACAAUUCAUCGCACAAGAAAAAACAACAACAACAACAGAGUGCCAUCUGCCUGGCACAGUUCACAUGCAGUAUGAGAUACUAGGGUCCCAGCGAGAGGAUCGAACUCGGACUACGGGUUUCGGGCGCGGACGCGGACGCCGUCCUUCUUGGCGAUCAGAAGGCACGGACGGACCCCAGGCGGCCACCGGAACGCCCACACCUCGACGCCGUCUCCGGCCUCCAGGCCGCAGUCCACCAUGAAGCUCGUGUACCCCUGACCGUUGAUGACGGUGGCGUCGUUGCGAUGGAACUUGUUGAGCUUCAGGCGGUCAGACUUGCACUGGCCGCGACCCCGGCGCCCGCUGCUGACGUAGACGCACAAGGGCACGCCCGGGAAUGUCGUCGGCGUGGCCCUCGCCCCGGGGAUCCUAAUCGGGUUGGGGUCGUUUGUGUUGAAGCCGCAUGCGGCGAUCUCGAAGGGGUGGAGGAAGGCUCGGCAGAGGCGGGCGCGCGCGGGGGCCGGGAGGAGGAGGCGGGCGUGCCGCGGGUUCAUGUCGGACUGGCACAGGACCUUCUCCCCGAUGUAGCACAGCGGGAGGUCCCUCGGCAGUCCAUGUUUGUGCUGGAGCUGGUCGCGCACCCACGCCCGCACCAUGUCGGCCCUCCGCCUCGACUGGCGUGCGCCGCUGCCUGCCCAGGGGAGCAACGUGAUCCCGUCGUCGGGCGGCAGCUGCUGCAGGGGGAGAUAGCGCAGACCCGGUUGGGCCAGCGCGGUGGAGUCGGCGCUGCCGGCCGGGACGAUCUGCCCGGCCUCGCCCUGCAGCUCGUCGUCCAGCGUGGCCAAAACCCCGAGCUGGGUCACCGCGCCGUCCCCGUCGGCCGGGCCCUCGUACACGACGAGCGCCCCCGUCUCCACGCCCGCGACCGCAGCGCCCUCGGUCACCGCGGGCGGCACCGGCACGCCGUCCCCGGCCGCGGGGCCUUCGUAAACGACGAGGGCCCUCGUCUCCACGUCCGCGACCGCAGCGCCCACGGUCACCGCGGGCGGCACGUCGUCGCCACCCGCCGCCACCGGGCCGUCGUAGACGACGAGGGCGAGGUUCUCCACCGGGAUCGGGCCGGCGUAGAGCGACAGGUCGACGUUGAGGUCGAGGUCGAACGAGAUCCGCGCGGACGGCAGGCCGAGGUGCAGCUCGAGGUCGAGCCCCUCGCCCGCCGUCCCCGCGGAUCCACGACGCACCUCGGCCAUCCUUCCUCCUCGAUCGACCUCCACGAAACUGCCCUAGCGCCGGCCGUUACUACUCGGGGUGGAAGCUAGGUAGGUGGUGAGCGCCGCGGCAGGGGGGGAUUGUUUCGGGGUCGAAAUGACCUGGCAAUACGACGUAUGUAUAUACAUACGGCGCAGGACGGACGAUGGCUAGGGUUUCGCGACGGAGCGGCGCGCGGCGCACACGGCUACCUUCCCACACGAACCGAACGCACGCGGAUCAGGCCCGACCGGCCCACGCGGCCCGCGCCGAGGAGGAGCGAACGGACGGAGAAGCUUCCGCCACGCCAGCGUCAGCUCCAGCGAUCCGGGCCCACCGCGCCGUGAGCCAAUCACAUCGCUCGUUUCUCCGUACCGCGGAUCGACCCCCCUGCGCCGUCCAUCUCCCAGCCGUCCAUCCCCGAUCGGACGCUCGAGCCCACUCCUCCAUCCCCACCACAUUUCUACACGCCGCUCGCUCACCCACCCAACGGAUGGAUAUGUUGGGUGGCUUGUAGCUAUAGCCCGUGGAUUGAAUGGACUUUGUCGCUUCUGCAGUAUGCGUAAUAUGAGAUCUUUUAGCUAUUUUAAAAUAUAUUAACUACAUACAUACAAAAAUGAGUGAACAUACGUACUAAAAUAUGUCUAGAUACAUACAAAUCAAAAGGUCUUCGAAGGGGUACUUUCUUAUAUCUGAAUUACUCCCUCCGUAGCUCUGAAUCAAUUGUCUGAAGCUAGCUUUGACUGCAACUACAUACUCAAUGUGUAGGUUUUUUUUCUUUUUUUCUUUUUUUUUGAGAACAGAGUAGGACGCCUACUCAGAAAAGGGCCGAAAUUCAGAGAGCAUAAGGGAGCGGAGGCUAUUCGGUACGUCAGAGAUUAGCGUAUGCUCUCCUGUGGAUUUUGUCUCCGCGGCCAGUCCAUGGGCCAAUGAGUUUCUGUUCCUCCUCACCCAUUUGACACUGCAAGCUGAGAACGAGGCCAUGGCUUUCUUUAUGUCCAUGAUUAGGCCAUAAUUGGGUGAGCGUGUAGGGCUCUCAGCCAACAGUUCCAUAGCGAUUCCUUGGUUGUCUGUCUCUAGGGCCACUUUGCCAUUGAAUAAGCCAGCCAAGGUCUGCAACCCGACUAGAAUAGCACGGCUUUCAGCCUCUUCUACACUGUGGCACCGGAGCAGUCUCUUACAGACAGACACAAACACAAAACCUCGGAAAUCCCGUGCUACAGCUCCUGCACUGCUUUCCCCUGUAUCGGCUGAGAAUGAUGCGUCGGUAUUCACUUUGGCUACCCCGCGUUCCGGCGGAAUCCAUCGUCCGUCUGUGUUUUCAGCAGCACGGUCAGGGGGUUCGUCGUCCCGGGCGUAGGAGCCAUGGAAUGUUUCUGCAACUUUUCCAUCCGUCCAUUCAGCUGAGUCUGCAGCCUUUCUUAGGUCCUCCUCGUACUGCUUCAAGAACUGCGUUGAGCCACCAAUUGAUUCUCUUCCGUUAUUACGGAUGCAGUCUUCUCUUAGGUGCCAGCAUCGCCAGAUAAGCAAUAGAAUUUUGGUGCGCAUCUCCUCGCAUUCAGUAUCAAGCAGUACUUGUAACCAGUUCUCUCCUGUAUACCAAAAUUUGCUUUCAUCAGGUAGGUUCCAUAUCUCCCUCGUGGCAUCCCUUAAGGCCCUGCUUUUGGUACACAUAAUCACUGCAUGAUGCUCAUUCUCCGUACAAUUUCCACAAAUGCUGCAAGUAUUAUCCAGCUCCAGUGUCCGUUUCCACUUGUUCUCUUUUGUAGCAAGUGUAUUGGUAGCCACCCUCCAGCCAAAAAUUCGCACUUUCCCUGGCACUUUUGACUUCCAGAUAAGAUCCCAUAUGCUUCGGUCAUUCGGAUCACUAGAUGAGUUCGAAGGGUUGUGGGCUAAUUGGGGAAGACUCAAUGCUGCCAACUUGUAAGCACUUCUCACCGAGAAUUCUUCAUUCUUCUCGUGGCGCCACGCAACCCGGUCCCCCACGGCCGACUCUGGGAUGCGGAUCUUGCAAAUCUCGUCUGCAUCAAAGGGGUAGAAAAUUUGUCUUAUUAGUUCCUCAUUCCACUCCUUGUCGGGCUGCAUUAGCUGGUUGACCCAACGAAUCCGAGACCUCCUUAUGAAGGCGGCCGUCUUGAGGCCCUCCCGUCUCGGAAUCCAGUGGUCCCGUUGGAUUUGGAUGUUCUUUCCAUCUCCCACUCUCCAUAUUAGACCUUUUUUCAAAAGCUCUAACCCAAACUCUAUCGCUCUCCAAACAGGGGAAGCAUCUGUUGCGAACACUGUGUCCAAGAGAUCACCAUGAGGAUAGUAUUUGGAUUUAAGGACUCGCGCACACAAACUAUCUGGUUUUUGAAUCAACCGCCAGCCUUGUUUGGCCAAAAGUGCUUGGUUAAACAAGUGCAUAUCUCUGAAGCCAAUACCUCCUGCUCUUUUCGGUUUUAUCAAUCUGUCCCAAGAUAUCCAAUGUGCCUUUCUGUGACCCUCUUCCUCUCCCCACCAAAACUUCCUGGUCAUUUUCUCAUAUUUCUCACAAAAGCCUUUGGACAGCAUGAAAACACUCAUGGUGAAGGUGGGGAGGGCUUGGACCACUGACUUGACGUGGACCUCCUUUGCAGCAUAGGACAUAAAUUUCUCAGACCAAUCGCUGCAUCUUUUACCAAACCUAUCCAUGAUUGGUUGGAAUUGAUCGUCCUUCAUUCUUCCUUCUGGAGUAGGUAGACCCAAAUAUUUGCUCUCGAAAGUUUCCGCCUGUACUCCGAGGAUGUUUUUUAUUUCCCCUCUUAUUUGGGCUGGACAGAUUUCACUAAACAGAAGUGAGCAUUUGCUAUUACUUAGGAACUGUCCAGUACACCUUUGGAAGGAAGUUAGAACCUUCUUAAUCACUUCGGCUUGUUCUGGUCUGGCUUUGAAGAAGAGUAAGCUGUCGUCCGCGAACAGAAGAUUAGAGAUGCCCGGGCUAUUCCUUGCAAUCUUAAUGGGAGUGAGCUUGUUUUCUUCCAUUUCCUUUUUCAACAAGUGCACCAGCCCAUCCGCCACAAAAAGAAAGAGAUAUGGGCUGAGUGGGUCUCCUUACCGCAGACCCCUGGAUGGGCAAAAAGGUUCCAAUAGCACCCCACUACAUCUUACCGAGUAUCUCACUGACCGAACACAUUGCAUCACCCAGUCAGUCCACUUUUUGCAGAAACCCGCUUUUCGUAGGACGCCUUCCAAGAAGCUCCAAUCCACUCUAUCAUACGCCUUUGCAAGAUCUAGUUUAUAUGCGCAGUAAUUGUCUCUCUCAUUCCGGCAGUGUUGGAUCUUAUGGAAGCACUCGAAUGCAAUGAUGGCAUUAUCCGUUAUCAUUCUGCCUGGUAUAAAGGCGCUUUGGGUCUCGGAGAUGAUGUCAUCUAGGAUGGGGCGCAGCCGGUUCACGAGGCACUUCGACACAACUUUAUAGAUGACAUUACACAAGCUUAUCGGUCGGUAGUCCUUUAGGCAUUGGGAAUUAUUACCUUUUGGAAUUAGGACAAUCACCGUGUCGUUAAUUCCUGCUGGAAGUACACCCUUCUCAAAGAAGUCGAGCACACCACUCACCACCUCUUCUUUUAGUUCUCCCCAAUUUCGCUGAAAAAACCGCGCCGAGAAGCCGUCCGGUCCGGGAGCUUUUAAGGGGCCAAUUUGGAACAAAGCAUCACUGACUUCUGUGGCCGAGAAAGGUUUUGUCAGAGCCUUAUUCAUAUCACCAUCCACCCGUUCGGACACUAGUUCAAGCACUUCUGUAGGAUCCACGCCUUCCUCUUUCUUAUAAAGUUUUUUAAAAAACUUGUUCGUCAUUUCAUGGAUACUUUUUGUAUUCUCAACCCAGUUGCCAUUUUCGUCCUUCAGCUUCACUAUGGAAUUUUUCUUUUUCCUCCAAGUUGCCUUACGCUGGAACCAUUUGGUGUUUUUAUCUCCUUCUCUUAAACACGUAGACCGUGACCGUUGUCUCCACAUAAUUUCCUCUCUCAGCAGCAUCUCAUCGAGUUCCCUCGUUAAUUGAUUUCUUCUGCCUGUUGUUCCGCCGUGCGAGGGGAGUUCCAUAUUCUGCUAAGUUUUUUCCUAAUCUCCAAUGUUUUCUUUAUGACUGAACCAAAAUCCCUGUCCGCCCAGCUCCUAAGAUCAGACUGCAUCUGCUGUAGCUUUGUAUACACCUUCUGUAAAUUGUCCGCUGGUCCGUCCCUUUUCCAGCUCGCCGCAAUAGUGGGUUGUAGUGACUCUACUCUCUCCCACAUUUGCUCAUAUCUAAACAGGUUGUUCUUCCUCUCAUUCACCGGUCUCCAUUCAGUUUUGUUUCCAACUCUUAGGAUGAUUGGUAGGUGGUCUGACCUUGACGAGCAGAUAUGCUCAACUGUAGCAUUCUUGAAGUAAUUAGACCACUCCGGUGAGGCCACGCAUCUGUCCAACCGUGCGCGAACAUUAGCGUGACCCUGUUGUUUGUUGUUGUACGUCCAUCCUGGUCCUUUGAAACCCAGGUCGAACAGGUUAUAGUCAGAGAGUACACUGGUCCUUUGAAACCCAGGUCGAACAGGUUAUAGUCAGAGAGUACAGGGCGGAAAUUUUCCACGUAUCGUUCGGACCUCUUUGUCUUUGAAAAAUGUUCGGACUGCCACAUGGUUUCGUUGAAAUCACCCAUCAUCAUUCACGGAAGGUUAUUGGUAUCUUUGAUUCUUCUUAGUAGAGUCCACAUUAGGUGGCGUUCGUGUGCUUUCGUUUCGCCAUAAACAAAAGUACCUCGCCAUUGUAGGCCAUGAGGAUUUAACCGGACCAACACAUCGAUGUAUCUCGCCCCUACAGCAAUCUUCUUUAUUUCCACAUUUUCAUCAUAAAAGAGAACAAUGCCGGCACCUUUUUCGAUACCGGGUUGCGUGAUGCAAUGACGAAGGCCCAGCCUCCACUUGAGGUUGCUUACGUACUUAUUAUUUUGCCGUGUCUCAGUGAGGAAGACGAGCUUGGGCUUUUAUGUAUGCAUGAGGCACACGAAUUCUUGAACUGUAUGAGGCUGCCCGAGACCUCGACAGUUCCAACUAAGGAUCGUCAUGGCUCCUGGCGGGUGCCAACCUCAGCGCCCACCAGGUUACCGGUAGCCCCAUUGCCGGUUGCUUCCAUUCCGUCCCCCUCCACCUGAACCUGCCCAUCCUCAACUUCUGCAGUGCCUCUGAUCUUCUUCUUCUGUUCUUCAACCUCUCCCCCAUUCUCUGUCUCUACUUGGUCCGCUUCUUCCUUCUCUCUGUCACUCCUCUUGCCAAGAACUGAGUUCACCUGGUCUGCACUUAUGUUCGCCUUCUUGUGUGGGUUUUUUUUGAGAGUACGCCAAAUGCGUAUCAUAGCUUUAUAGAAAGCAGAAUAUAAGUUAUAAGAAAAUUACUACUCGCUGCGAACAACAAGCGUAGCACAAACACCACACCCAACAGGACCAAAGAGAAACACCACCGCAAAGCAAGUUACAACGCAAAAGAGCCUAUUCUAAGAUCAUACAUAGUACCGUGUCUCAACUGACGCCGGGCAUCUUCAAAGACAACCCACUGUCGCAAAGUUUUACUCAUCAACGCACCAUCCAUCCUAAGCGCCUGAGAGAAAGUGCCAGGUGAAUGACAGGGCUCGAUCCGAUCCGAGAAGGCGCCGUCUUAGACACACCGACGACGGUGUACAGAGCGCCACAGAGGAUCAAAAGAGGACAGUGGUGAACACCGGAGGAGAGCAACGAGGAGCCAGCCAUGUCUCCAAGCAUAGUGCUCCAACAAACGAGCGAUGUUGAGGACAUCGCCAUCGUGCCGAUACAAACACCGAAUCGAGGCUUUUGCUCGAAGACAUUCACCAACUCUAAGAGAGCAGUGGCGGAGCUACGGCUGGGCCAACCCAUGCCCUUGCCCGCCCAUCACAUGCAAAAUUCCUCUGAUGUACACGUACUAUUAGGCCAUGGAAUAACAUUCCAAUAGUAAUUUCCUUCAGCUUGGCCCUGCUAGCCCGCCCAACAAUUUGGGCGAAGCUCCACCACUGCAAGAGAGCGAGCGGAAUUGCGAACACGCUCGACGACGCCUUCAAGAAAGAGAAUGACAUCCAUAGAUGCCAUCACCAUCGGCCCGACAAAAGCCGAGCAAGAUUUUCAUCCGCGCAUGGCCCCUCUCCACACCUCCAUGAAAUUGGCAACAUUGUUCAAGAAGCCUCACACCGCCACCCCAUAGCACUUGCCGACGUAGCAGCAAUGCCGAGGACUGAUGACCAACCGCCCAACAGGGUAACCGCAGCCACACCACCAACUCCCAGCCUGCACAAGGAUCCACGCCAACCAGCACCUUCGGCCAGGUCCGGGACCACCCGUGAUGGUCGUUGCCUACCCAAGGGACAACCUUGCGUCGAUCAGACCCACCUCUCCUCUCCAUGGAAAAUCCCAGGUCGGCACCAUCAGGAGAGUACUGCCGCUCGCCGCGCCGCACAAGGGUAACUGACCGCUCGCUGCUCGCUAAGACUCCAUCUUAGCCGAGCCAUCGACGCGUCGCCACCAGCCUGCCCGUGGGAAUUCGCCACCACACCUGUCAGGACCCCGAUCCUAAGUCACUCCUAUCUAGCAUGUAACACAUCAUAUCACUUUGCGGCCUCACGCACAGUAUUCCCACGGGUGCCACCUUACCUGGCCCGGGACCGUUUGCGCCUUUUGGCUCACGUAUAUGAUAGUGUCCCUAGCAUCCAUAUGGUAAGGAGCCCGGGCUGACAUGGCUAGUCGUAAACCCAAAGUGGCACAAACUUACAGGGACAGGCAUCCAUGACCCAGCAUCGAACGUGUCGAUCAUCAGCGAGUGAACCCAGGUUGUAGCACUGGGCUAGCAGGACUCCGGUGAACCGGGCUGUAGCGGGCUAACAGGACUCCGGUAUUCAUCGCGUGACAUUUCCCCGAAGGGACAGACACAGGAACGAAGAAGGACACAUGCCGGCCAGCCUAAGUGUUCCGGAGCAGUAGCAAGCUACCAUGGCUCAGUGGAAACACUAGGAGACAUUUCCCGAUAAGAGAGGCUACCAAGGAUAAACAACUAGAUAGCCAGAUCCCACACAUACCAAGCAUUUCAAUAACAUACACACAAUAUGCUCGAUAUGUGCAAAUACAACAUGGCAUCACAACAUGACUCUACGACUCAAGUAUUUAUUAGGCUCCGAGGAGCGAGAUAUUACAAACAGGGGUCUCAUGACCCAACACUCAGAGCAUACAAAUCAAGCACAAGCGGAAACUAUCAUGUCUGAGUACAGACAUCUAUAAAUGAAAAAGGCUGAGAAGCCUGACUAUCUACCAGAUCCUGCCGAGGGCACAAGAUCGUAGCUGAGGUAACAAGCUAAACGUCGAAGUCCAAGCGGAACUACUAGUGAGACUGAAGUCUCUCUGCAAAACAUAAAAUAGGCAAACGUGAGUACAAAUGUACCCAGCAAGACUUACAUCAGAUCUAUCUACAUAUGCAUCAUUAUCAACAAAGGGGAUGGUGGGGUUUAACUGCAGCAAGCCAGCUUUGACUCGGUGGCUAUCCUGAACUACGACUGCAAGUAACUCUUUUGAGGUGGCGCACACGAGUCCACAUAUUCACCAUAUCAAUACACCACUAUGGAUCCACUCCCGUCUCCCUACGAGAACGCCAUCCAUAGCACUCAUGCUUAUCUUGCGUAUUUUAGAGUAUCCACUUUCACUUGUCUAUGAACUGUACAAGGGGUCCAAGUUUCCAUAACCGAGGAAUCCGGCUAUUCGAAUAGAUGAUGUUAACCCUGCAGGGGUGUACUUCUUCACACACGCUCUCGCCACUUACCGCCCUGUACACGUCAUGUACCUCGGCAACCUUCAAGCGGAAGCCGGGCGAGGGAGUCGGCCACGACCUGACUAACCGAACAAGUCUCUAGUCCAGGUUUAUCGCCUAUUCGGGUUCCAUCCGCAAGGAGAUCCGGCCGGGGUGUCGCUCAUGGCCCCAAACGAUGUGUGCAGGGUUCCCAAGCCCACCAUCCGGGUGCCACUUGGUACACCGUGCCACUGUGCCUAGUCUGUCCCAAGCCCACCUGUACCGGGUGCCACUUGGUAGACUACUAACACUACCUACAAACACCAGAAACUAGUUGCAACUCCUGGACAGAGAUCAUGUUGAUUAAUAAGUCGAGAAGGGUCGAGUUACCGGAACCCAAUGUGUGGUAGUAACUGGUCAUGGAUCACAAACACAGAGCUCAGUUCCUGAGGACGGCUGCAAUGAGACAACCCACCAUGUACUCCUACAUGGCCUCUCACCGCUACCUUUACCAAAUUGUGUUCACACACUUAGCUCACACACAGUAGGACAUGUUCACACACCUCUGAUUCAUCCCCGAUGAAUCAGACCUGACUCAACUCUAAGCAGUAGCAGGCAUGACAAACAAGCAUGAAAGAGUAGGCACAUCAGGGCUCAAACAACUCCUACUCAUGCUAGUGGGUUUCAUCUAUUUACUGUGUCAAUGACAGGUCAUGCAAAGGAUAAAGGGGUUCAGCUACCGCAGCAAGUAACAAAUAUGUCGUUGUUGUCCUAAUACAGUAAAAGAGAGCAGGAGCGAGAGAGUGGGGUUUUAUCGGAAUGAACAAAGGGGUUUUGCUUGCCUGGCACUUCUGAAGAUAGCAUUGAGUCUUCAUCAGUGUCAACGAUCACAACGUCGGGACAACGUCUACCGAGGGGGAACAACACCGGCAAACACAGAAGAAGCACGAUCAAUGCAAUGCACAAUAUGAUGCAUGCUAUGACAUGGCAAUAUGAAUGUGUUUUGGGCUAAUGCACCUAGCUAUGAUUUAAAUGAAGUUGGUUUGAAUACAUGAUUCAAAUUCCAACUCCAUAUAUGAUUAUUUAAGUGCCCUUUAUUUGUUUUGUCCAAAACAGAGGACAAACAUUGUUUAAACAUGCAUGAAAAUGGUACAGAUGGAUUCCUUGAAUUUUUCUGAUAAUUUUUCAUAUAUAAAUCAUUUAAUUUGGAGUUACGGUUGAAUUUCUAUGAUUUAUUGAAGUUUAAACAAUUUUCUGGAAUUUUCUGAAUAAAAAUAAAUCCAGAAACAUUAUUGCGUCAGCCUGACAUCAUCAUGACGUCAGCAGGUCAACUGGGUCGCCCAGAGUCAAACCUGACGUGUGGGGGCCACACGUCAGUGACACAGGGCUGGUUUGGGUGUUUGACAGGUGGGUCCGGUCAACGUUGACUUGACUAAGUCAAAAUCUGACACAUGGGGUCCACAGAUUAGCACUAAUCUAAACAGAAAAAGUAAACUAACCUAAUUAGGCUCGGGGCCCACAUGGCAGUGGCACUAGGGUUGGUUUAGCUGGGUCAUUAGUGGCUAAUGACGUGCCACGUCACCGGCCACCGGAGUUUGGCCGGCGGUGACUCGAAACGCGGCGGAUGUUCACCGGGGUUGCGCUACGGGCGGCGGCUGGACGCGCGAAGGCUACCAGAAGGUAGCCCGUACACGGCCGCACCUAGCUGGCUGCACGAGGGGCCGCGGGGUGGCCGGAGACGACGGCGGCGAGCACUUCCGCGGUGGCCGGAGUUCGGGCUGGGGCAGGGACGCGGCUGCAGCGCUCGAGCGAGCAAGCGGAGUGGAGAGGCAUCCUCCUGGAGGCGCCAGGAGCGUGUCAGUGCCCCUGGAGCGAGCAGGAGAGGCUCGGGAAUGCGGGCUCGCCGGCCAUGGCGGACGGCGGCCUCGGGUGACCUCGGGGCUACGGCUAGAGGGCGGGAGCAAGCAGGGGGCAGAGGGGAAAUGCUCAGGGGCUUACGGUGAGUUCGAAGAGAAGGUCGGCGUGCUCGGGGAGGCGGCGGAGACGGCGAAUCGGACGGCGGCAUCCGGCGGCCGUGGUCGGGGAAGAAGGCCGCAAGCGUCAUCUUGGGGCCGUCCUGACUCGUGUAGCUCGGAGAGGAGGGAGAGUAGGUGGCGGCGGCGCCUCUGAGAGCAUCGGCGGGGCGAGGCAGUGGCUGUGGCCACGGCGGCGUACGAACGGCGGCGGCGGUCGCUCUCGGGUGCGUGCGAGAGAAAGAACAGAGGAGGAGAUGGGGACGAGGGAGUGAGCGGGAGGGUUCCAGGGGGUCGAGGCGGCGCCGAGGAGAAGGCGCGAGGCGUCGUGGUGGCCUCAGUGACGCAGGCAGGCAGGGAGGUGCGUGGCGCCGCUGGCGCGCGUGCGCUGUCUCCCUCCUCUGCCUUCUGGCAGAGGUAGGUGAUGACUGGCACGGGCCAGGUGGGCCGGCCCGGCCAGGUAAGUGGCCUGUGGCCUUACUCUCUCUCUCUCUCUCUCUCUCUCUCUUCAUUUAGCUUGUUUUUCUAUAUUUCUGCAAUUGUUUUGGCUUUAUUAAAAAUGCCAGAGCAUUAUUAAAAAUCCUGAAAAUAUUCAUGAGCACUUUCUGAAUUAUUUCAGUGUCCCACAAAUAAUUCCAACAUUAUUUGAGCAUUUAAAUUAUUUAUAGUGUUUAAAUGCCCAAAGUCAAAUACAAUAUGAUUUAAUUCAAAAAUCCAAAAAUGAUCUAAGAAUAUAUUCAUCAUUUUUGGCAGAGGUUUCCACCUUAACCAGAAAUCAUGAACUUUUCUUAGGAACUUUUUUGGGUUUAUUGAAAAAGAUUUUAAUCCACCCUAGUUGAGUUGAUUUGGUGCUAGGGUUUGAACAUCCCCAUUUCAAGUUUAAGAAAAAUUUAAACAUGAUGCACACAUGAAGCUAUCCUAGUGCAAUACCAGAAGCUAGGGAUAUGACAACUCACCCCCACUAAACAAGAAUCUCGUCUCGAGAUUCAAGCGUAGGGUAAGAUGAAGGGGAAACGCAAACUAGUAUAAUCUUCACGAUCCAGGUUGCACUUCAAAUGAACGUUGAUUCGAUCACCAUCUUUGUCCCGUCGUCUUGCUCUGAGAACUCCAGCUAGCAUGACAGCAAGAGGAAAAGGACAACUCCGGAAGAAUCGAUCUUCUCGAAGAUCAAUCAACUUAGGAUCAGCUCACCAAGUGAGUCAUAGCAACAUCUCUUGAGCUGAGACACGAAGCAUACAUCUGAAGAAAUGGAGUGAGACAGAUGACGAGGGCUCACUAGGUAGACAACAAUUCCACACCUAAGAAGGUGGUAAACGAUUGUCAACGUAGCGAGGAGUUGAGUUUCCAUGAUGCCACAGAGGGACAUCCUGGAGGAGGGUGAUUCGUAGAUAUAUCCCCUUAGGUGGCAAAAAGAAUUACUUUUGACUCAGAGAUCAUUGAAACUUUUAAAACCAGCCUAAGGCAAUUCUCGAGCGAUCGUUUGGAGGGGGUCGGUAGGAUGGCAUACUCGGACUUGGAUGAUGUGGAUUACCUUGUUGAAGACAACGUAAUGGAUGAAUUUGCUUAUCACCGGAAAUGGAAGAGACCCAUGGUAGAAUGGCACAUUGGUGGUGCAGGCUGGGAACAGAAUGCAAAUGCUGGGAAUGAUUCUGGUAACUGGGGAAGAACCCAACAAUAGAGAGUGAAUUCAUUGUUUGAAAAGGUCAUAGCAUUGCCGAGGAAACUGAGAGGAAUCCCAGUUAGUGCCGAUGAUAACACCUAGCGCUUAUGCAUGCUCUCAAGAACUUGAGCAUUUCCACAAUCAUCAAGGUUUUAUCAACAUCCGUGUCAAGGGUGCUGACAACACAACAUACUACCAUGAUGGCUAAUGAUGGAUGAUGCAGAUGCAAAGGAAGAUAAUACCUUCUCAGAUUUCACCUUAGCGAGGCCAAGGAGACAAAAUCUGGACGAUCGACCGAGAGACAUUUAGCACUCCGCUCCUAAUGUUCUCCUUGAUGUGCUAGCGUAAUCCAUAGAUAAUUAUGGUUGGAUAUCUAGAACAUCAAGUAAAAGGUCGGACUUCGGAAACACAAAAAUCCAUAAGGAACAACUAGGGAGGUAAAUCCUACGAAAUCCUUAUGGGGAGGUGGCCAACUUCUUCAAUCAAGAUACUACAAUAAUAGGUCCUUCGGCUGGGUGGUGCUGGCCACGACAUCCACUUUACCAGUUAUCGAGGGACCAAUAUUAUAGUUCUUGGGAAAUGUUCCAACCAUCAUAUCUGCCUGAGAUUCAGAUCUGGUUGGUGUCAGGAUAUUCCAGACUCAUCGCGUCCAGGAAGAAAAAUGAAAGUUUGCAACACAAUUCGACGAGAUAACGUUGCGAGAUUCUCGGGAAAUGAACUACGAUAGCAAGCUCCAAAACAUGAGCUGGUUCUGCUACACACAUGUGAACAUGUUGUCCCAGACAAGCAUGACCACAUGGUAGUCUUAUAAUAAAACACUACCGAGUUCUGGUUGGGAACCAUCAUCGAGGAUAUCAAAGUUCUUGAUUAAGCCCGGGUUAGCUCUUAAAAAGAACUCCUUCUCCUAGAACAAAUCAGUCAGUGGCUUGGUGUGCUACAUAAUUCAUAUGGAACGAAGAUGAUCAGUCUAACAGACCACAGAAUACUUUGCACGUGCAUGGCUGACUUGGGAUGAUUCUAGAGGAAGCAAAACUAACUUUCUCAAAUCCACGGCGGCAACUUUCACCAAAUGCACGUGUAUAAGAGGAAGUCACUCCUUUCAUCAAACACAUACUUCAUGAGUUAGCAUGAAGAAAUGCUUUCAGAAGUUUCCAACACUAACUUGUUGUCCAACAAGAUCAUGGAGGAGAUGAGGAUGUUGUCAAUGGGCUCAACAACAAUUCAUCUGGGUUUCCUUUUAAAAGGAAUUCCAUAGUUAAGUGAACAAGUGAUAGCAUUGGUCAGACCCAAAAGAUAUAAUGAUGUAUGCUCGAGGGAUCAACCACGAGUAAGACAACAUUACGAAUAUCGUUGGUUCUGGUCUGAUUGGAUGAUAGCCCAUACUCAAUCAAAGGUUUGGGUAAGAUAAUAGAUCCAACAAUUGUCCACAAGGGCCAAUUGAUGAAGAUAUCAUCUUUCUUCAACACACACUAUACAAGAAUAUCCCUUUGGAACGAACUAAGUUAGGCAAGCUUUUAUCUUCCAACUCUCCAAGUUGUUGUCUAGCUUAACCAACUAGCUCAAGAAUAUCCAACAUAGAUUCUUGGAGAAGGGGUGGUUUACAGGAAUAAACCAACUUGAUCACGAACUCAACAUAGCGGUCAGGUGACAACCUGGUAAUACUUCUGAGAAGAUAUUCAGAAAAUCACGAACCACCGAUAUGUUACUAAGCUCGAGAGCAAUCUUUCUUUUCAGGGCAAGAUGAUAUGAUCAAAUGAGCGAGGAUUUGACAAAAUCCUAACUCAUCAAUCAAAGAGUGCACCAGAAAUAGGGACUAGGCAGCACAAUCAGUCUUAGGGUGACGAUUCAAUAAUCAACACGCUAAGAAUGAGGUUAUCGUCCAUUUAACUACCAAGCAACAGAGUUGCUAGCAGUAUUGAUUUCACAUAUCACAAUUCAUUUGUCGGUAUUCCGGUUGCAUCAACACGAGGACCGAGGAAUGACUAAUGAUGGUGAGAAUUAUCACUACGUCAAAAUUCAUGAGAGUUGGUGCAGUUCUCAUGACAAUUCUGACAUAAAGGGGGUAAUACUCCAAGGUAGAACAGAACUAAAAGCUGGAUUGGCAUUUGAUCUGCGGAAUACAACUGCUUUGACCCAAUCCUGGAUAUGGAAGAGGUACUGGAGUUUGUUUCUCCAAGUCAUUCAGGACAGAAUGGCUUGACGGCCACAAGACUAAUAGGCAUCGAUAAACGAACGCACGCAUACUCUUGACUAUCAAUUGAUAGACGAAGGCCAGUAGACAACUAAAGAGGGACAACUCAAAGGAACAUAUAACUUUCUGAGUUGUGGAUGCAUAGAUUAGUAUGUCGAACCAAGUUCAACAUAAUUCUUUCGGAUAACCCAUGCAAAAAGGUUGAGCUGGCAGAGUCACAAUAUAGCAUGGAGAACUCAUCAAGAGUACUCCGAUUAUGGUCUUUUGAUUCAACAAACUACUGCCACAAAUGGUUCAUAGUAUUUGGAAGAAGGAAAAUACCAUGGACCUCGAGGACUAAUGCAAAAGUUACUAAUUUCCUAAAGGAACUAGCAACACUAUCAACAUGAAGUAAGUAGAGUGAAUCUCGGGUUCAAAACCCAGAAGUGAAAUGCCUACUAACUAAGUGGCAUCACGGGAUGCUUUCGAGAAUGAUGGCCAGAAUCAUCACACUGGGACACAAAUCAUGGCUAAAUUACUAGAUGAUCCCCUAAGACACCUAGGGUCAUAAUAAUAACUCCAACAUAAAUGUCAAGGCAAUGGAAUACCUCAACUCAACAAUUAGUGUGAUUGAGCUGGCAUAAAGGAACAUCGAAACCAGGGGGAAAGAAUUUUGCAAAUGCAUCAGACUAUUUAGAAACCUGGGAUGACUCGGACAGCAUAACGGCUGUAAAUGCUCAAAAAAGAUUUGAGACAUUCACCAAAAUGGUGGCAUAAUCACUCAGAAGCACAAUAUCAAGGUUUCGAGAUCAUCAUAGACAUACCGAAGUAGUAGGAACUGGACUGAGGCUUAAAUCCAACAAUCUUAUAAGUCUACGGAUUAGUAACACGUGAUCCUGAUAGAAAGAAGAGAAAGCCUAGUUCUUUAAUCCCCGUAGGAAAAAUAGGAUGACUCAGAUCAGAAGGGCAUAAGGUAUAAGGAGUAAAAAGAGCCUUACGUUCCAUCCCACAAUCAAUUCCCUUAUAUAACUAAAGAGUUUCUAGACUCAACUUCGACCAGUUUGGCUUGGUAAUCCUACAGGCAGUCAAGCUCUAAUACCAACGCUGUCAGGACCCCGAUCCUAAGUCACACCGAUCUAGCAUGUAACACAUCAUAUCACUUUGCGGCCUCACGCACGGUAUUCCCACGGGUGCCACCUUACCUGGCUCGGGACCGUUUGCGCCUUUUGGCUCACGUAUAUGAUAGUGUCGCUAGCAUCCAUAUGGUAAGGAGCCCGGGCUGACAUGGCUAGUCGUAAACCCAAAGUGGCACAAACUUACAGGGACAGGCAUCCAUGACCCAGCAUCGAACAUGUCGGUCAUCAGCGAGUGAACCCAGGCUGUAGCACUGGGCUAGCAGGACUCCGGUGAACCGGGCUGUAGCGGGCUAACAGGACUCCGGUAUUCAUCGCGUGACAUUUCCCCGAAGGGACAGACACAGGAACGAAGAAGGACACAUGCCGGCCAGCCUAAGUGUUCCGGAGCAGUAGCAAGCUACCAUGGCUCAGUGGAAACACUAGGAGACAUUUCCCGGUAAGAGAGGCUACCAAGGAUAAACAACUAGAUAGCCAGAUCCCACACAUACCAAGCAUUUCAAUAACAUACACACAAUAUGCUCGAUAUGUGCAAAUACAACAUGGCAUCACAACAUGACUCUACGACUCAAGUAUUUAUUAGGCUCCGAGGAGCGAGAUAUUACAAACAGGGGUCUCAUGACCCAACACUCAGAGCAUACAAAUCAAGCACAAGCGGAAGCUAUCAUGUCUGAGUACAGACAUCUAUAAAUGAAAAAGGCUGAGAAGCCUGACUAUCUACCAGAUCCUGCCGAGGGCACAAGAUCGUAGCUGAGGUAACAAGCUAAACGCCGAAGUCCAAGUGGAACUACUAGUGAGACUGAAGUCUCUCUGCAAAACAUAAAAUAGGCAAACGUGAGUACAAAUGUACCCAGCAAGACUUACAUCAGAUCUAUCUACAUAUGCAUCAUUAUCAACAAAGGGGAUGGUGGGGUUUAACUGCAGCAAGCCAGCUUUGACUCGGUGGCUAUCCUGAACUACGACUGCAAGUAACUCUUUUGAGGUGGCGCACACGAGUCCACAUAUUCACCAUAUCAAUACACCACUAUGGAUCCACUCCCGUCUCCCUACGAGAACGCCAUCCAUAGCACUCAUGCUUAUCUUGCGUAUUUUAGAGUAUCCACUUUCACUUGUCUAUGAACUGUACAAGGGGUCCAAGUUUCCAUAACCGAGGAAUCCGGCUAUUCGAAUAGAUGAUGUUAACCCUGCAGGGGUGUACUUCUUCACACACGCUCUCGCCACUUACCGCCCUGUACACGUCAUGUACCUCGGCAACCUUCAAGCGGAAGCCGGGCGAGGGAGUCGGCCACGACCUGACUAACCGAACAAGUCUCUAGUCCAGGUUUAUCGCCUAUUCGGGUUCCAUCCGCAAGGAGAUCCGGCCGGGGUGUCGCUCAUGGCCCCAAACGAUGUGUGCAGGGUUCCCAAGCCCACCAUCCGGGUGCCACUUGGUACACCGUGCCACUGUGCCUAGUCUGUCCCAAGCCCACCUGUACCGGGUGCCACUUGGUAGACUACUAACACUACCUACAAACACCAGAAACUAGUUGCAACUCCUGGACAGAGAUCAUGUUGAUUAAUAAGUCGAGAGGGGUCGAGUUACCGGAACCCAAUGUGUGGUAGUAACUGGUCAUGGAUCACAAACACAGAGCUCAGUUCCUGAGGACGGCUGCAAUGAGACAACCCACCAUGUACUCCUACAUGGCCUCUCACCGCUACCUUUACCAAAUCGUGUUCACACACUUAGCUCACACACAGUAGGACAUGUUCACACACCUCUGAUUCAUCCCCGAUGAAUCAGACCUGACUCAACUCUAAGCAGUAGCAGGCAUGACAAACAAGCAUGAAAGAGUAGGCACAUCAGGGCUCAAACAACUCCUACUCAUGCUAGUGGGUUUCAUCUAUUUACUGUGUCAAUGACAGGUCAUGCAAAGGAUAAAGGGGUUCAGCUACCGCAGCAAGUAACAAAUAUGUCGUUGUUGUCCUAAUACAGUAAAAGAGAGCAGGAGCGAGAGAGUGGGGUUUUAUCGGAAUGAACAAAGGGGUUUUGCUUGCCUGGCACUUCUGAAGAUAGCAUUGAGUCUUCAUCAGUGUCAACGAUCACAACGUCGGGACAACGUCUACCGAGGGGGAACAACACCGGCAAACACAGAAGAAGCACGAUCAAUGCAAUGCACAAUAUGAUGCAUGCUAUGACAUGGCAAUAUGAAUGUGUUUUGGGCUAAUGCACCUAGCUAUGAUUUAAAUGAAGUUGGUUUGAAUACAUGAUUCAAAUUCCAACUCCAUAUAUGAUUAUUUAAGUGCCCUUUAUUUGUUUUGUCCAAAACAGAGGACAAACAUUGUUUAAACAUGCAUGAAAAUGGUACAGAUGGAUUCCUUGAAUUUUUCUGAUAAUUUUUCAUAUAUAAAUCAUUUAAUUUGGAGUUACGGUUGAAUUUCUAUGAUUUAUUGAAGUUUAAACAAUUUUCUGGAAUUUUCUGAAUAAAAAUAAAUCCAGAAACAUUAUUGCGUCAGCCUGACAUCAUCAUGACGUCAGCAGGUCAACUGGGUCGCCCAGAGUCAAACCUGACGUGUGGGGGCCACACGUCAGUGACACAGGGCUGGUUUGGGUGUUUGACAGGUGGGUCCGGUCAACGUUGACUUGACUAAGUCAAAAUCUGACACAUGGGGUCCACAGAUUAGCACUAAUCUAAAUAGAAAAAUUAAACUAACCUAAUUAGGCUCGGGGCCCACAUGGCAGUGGCACUAGGGUUGGUUUAGCUGGGUCAUUAGUGGCUAAUGACGUGCCACGUCACCAGCCACCGGAGUUCGGCCGGCGGCGACUCGAAACGCGGCGGAUGUUCACCGGGGUUGCGCUACGGGCGGCGGCUGGACGCGCGAAGGCUACCAGAAGGUAGCCCGUACACGGCCGCACCUAGCUGGCUGCACGAGGGGCCGCGGGGUGGCCGGAGACGACGGCGGCGAGCACUUCCGCGGUGGCUGGAGUUCAGGCUGGGGCAGGGACGCGGCUGCAGCGCUCGAGCGAGCAAGCGGAGUGGAGAGGCAUCCUCCUGGAGGCGCCAGGAGCGUGUCAGUGCCCCUGGAGCGAGCAGGAGAGGCUCGGGAACGCGGGCUCGCCGGCCAUGGCGGACGGCGGCCUCGGGUGACCUCAGGGCUACGGCUAGAGGGCGGGAGCAAGCAGGGGGCAGAGGGGAAAUGCUCAGGGGCUCACGGUGAGUUCGAAGAGAAGGUCGGCGUGCUCGGGGAGGCGGCGGAAACGGCGAAUCGGACGGCGGCAUCCGGCGGCCGUGGUCGGGGAAGAAGGCCGCAAGCGUCAUCUUGGGGCCGUCCUGACUCGUGUAGCUCGGAGAGGAGGGAGAGUAGGUGGCGGCGGCGCCUCUGAGAGCAUCGGCGGGGCGAGGCAGUGGCUGUGGCCACGGCGGCGUACGAACGGCGGCGGCGGUCGCUCUCGGGUGCGUGCGAGAGAAAGAACAGAGGAGGAGAUGGGGACGAGGGAGUGAGCGGGAGGGUUCCAGGGGGUCGAGGCGGCGCCGAGGAGAAGGCGCGAGGCGUCGUGGUGGCCUCAGUGACGCAGGCAGGCAGGGAGGUGCGUGGCGCCGCUGGCGCGCGUGCGCUGUCUCCCUCCUCUGCCUUCUGGCAGAGGUAGGUGAUGACUGGCACGGGCCAGGUGGGCCGGCCCGGCCAGGUAAGUGGCCUGUGGCCUUACUCUCUCUCUCUCUCUCUCUCUCUCUUUUCAUUUAGCUUGUUUUUCUAUAUUUCUGCAAUUGUUUUGGCUUUAUUAAAAAUGCCAGAGCAUUAUUAAAAAUCCUGAAAAUAUUCAUGAGCACUUUCUAAAUUAUUUCAGUGUCCCACAAAUAAUUCCAACAUUAUUUGAGCAUUUAAAUUAUUUAUAGUGUUUAAAUGCCCAAAGUCAAAUACAAUAUGAUUUAAUUCAAAAAUCCAAAAAUGAUCUAAGAAUAUAUUCAUCAUUUUUGGCAGAGGUUUCCACCUUAACCAGAAAUCAUGAACUUUUCUUAGGAACUUUUUUGGGUUUAUUGAAAAAGAUUUUAAUCCACCCUAGUUGAGUUGAUUUGGUGCUAGGGUUUGAACAUCCUCAUUUCAAGUUUAAGAAAAAUUUAAACAUGAUGCACACAUGAAGCUAUCCUAGUGCAAUACCAGAAGCUAGGGAUGUGACAACACCUCUCUGUUGCCAGAGCCUGCCAGGCCCACCGCGCCACCAUCCCACCUACUGAGCGCCGGCCACAAGCCCUCACCUGCACCUGGGGCAAAUCUGGCCUGGUUUGAUCCCCAUCACAACAAGAAAACCAAGCCGCCACCGGCCUGCACAUUCCGCCGUGACGCGCCACCAUCAGCCAGCAUCGCCGCCCAGCACCGCCUCCAGCCUGCGUGAACCGCCGUCGCCGACACCACGCGGGCUUUGCCCAGUGACGGUAGGGAAGGGGAGUGGGGGCCCAUGUCCGGCGGCUAGGGUUAGAUCACCCGGGUCGCCUGGGGAGGGGGGGGGGGCGACAAGAGGCGCUUGUAAAACUAAAUAUGUCUCGUCAGUGUUAACCCUGUUAACCCGAGACUGUCGAUCUUCUUUGUGAACUUGAUUGAAAAUGACAAAAGAAAAAUCUGAAAUUUUGGACAGAAGAAUCUAAAAUACAGUCUGAAGCCUUGGCCCCAGCAAGUUUUGUGAUGUAUGAUAAAAGCAAACAACAUUAGAACAAUUCACAGGUACAACCUCUAUUACUGGCGUGCUCAUACACUAGUUCGUUCUGUGUGUCACUGUCUGCAAGUGCUCAUUAUUCUUUUCGGAGAUGAAGAUCAUAAAGUUCACAAUGAAGACAUACAACCCCUGGCUUUGCUGCUACCUUGGUGUCGCCACAACAGCAGAAUUUCCAUCUCGGACAAAUAAUCUACUGAAAAGCAGAUCGGCGUGGCAAAGACAGCAUGGCAAAAACAAUACUCCGUACUACUGAAAAACUGCUAGCAUUCACUUCCAAUAUAAAAGAUGCACCACAAUCAUAAUCGUUGGUUGCACAAGCCUUACACAUCUAAAACCCCACCCCUAGAUACAACUCCUAAUGCCAUUUCGAAACACGAAAACACCAGAACAAGAACUCAGCUCUAAUCUCCUUACCCACCCCAACCACCAGACUCCAGCAACGGCGAAGAUACUACAGAAGAGCAGAACCACCCCAAAAAAAAAGCCUCUCAUUGAAUCCUGAAUCGCCUCAGACUUGCACCUUUCUGCAACCCACAAGCAUAUAUCCAACUAGCAGAAUCUUGAAUUCCUACAGCCACGGCAACUCUUCCUCACCCUGUAUAUAAGCUGUCCUCCUCGAAUGGAUGAUCAAAUGACUUGAGCAGCGGAAAUC